rnacentral:lncRNA from 1 species
GUCUUGCAGGGCGCCAAGCAGCUUCCGGCCUCUGCUGAGGCGGCGGCCGAGAAGCGGCGAGGGGAGAAGGCCGAGGAAGGGCUGAGGACGGUGAUGUACCUCAGCUGCUGGGGUCCCAAUUAGAAGCUGCAACUUGGUACUAGCUAGGCGUGUGUGUGUUUGCUGCAACAACCAUGGCCUGGAACCACGAUGUAAAAACUUGGUACUAGCUGGCUUCCCGAGGAAUCCCCCAUUGUAAAAACCCCGAUGAUGAUGAUGACAAAUUUCUGUUACUUCAGUUCAUAUCACUCUCCUUAUCUGUUUGCCUUUUUGUUAUCUUGAUGAGAAAUAUGAAUAGAUGCUUUACUUUAGUUUCAGCUAUUCCCUUGUCUUUGAACCCGGCCUUUUGGUCGUAUGUCAUUACAACUUACAAGGACUUCAUUUUUUUACCUGAGUUCAUAGCAAACAUGCUGUAUCUCUUCAGUCUGCAGCACACGUGAAGGUGUCCUCUGCAGGUGUUGAAAAGAGACACAUGAUAAAUUCCCAUAUCUGAAGCAACCUCACACGGCCCCUGGUAUGGUGGAAACCAUGUCUUCCAGCGUGUGGGUCACCCCCAUCUAAUCUUAUCUUAUCACUCUGCCUUGUCUGGUUGUAACAGACAAAACCAUGGCCCACUGUUUUUUCGAUAAAGGAUGAAUUUUAUUGGCUCAAAAUGAAGCAUCAAGAGAAUAUAAACAUAAUGAGAGUCUGUUGAACCUACUAGCUAGGCGUGUUGGGGUCCCAAUUAGCAGUGCACCUUGCUACUACUAGCUAGGCGUGUUUGUGUUUGCUGAAACAACCAUGGCCUGAAACCGCGAUGUAAAAGCUUGGUACUAGCUGGCUUCCCGUGGAAUCCCCCAUUAUAAAAACCACGAUGAUGAUGAUGACAAAUUUCUGUUACUUCAGUUCAUAUUACUCUCCUUAUCUGUAUUUUUUUAUAUCUUAAUGAGGAAUAUGCAUUGAUGCUUUAAUUUGGUUUCAGUUUACAGCUAUUCCGUUAUCUAUGAACCCGGCCUUUUGGUCGUAUGGCAUUACAACAUACAAGAGCGACGAGUUCGUAGCAAACCUGCUGAAUUUCUUCAGCCUGCAGCACACAUGAAGGUGUCAUCUGCAGAUGUUGAAGUGACACACAUGGUAAAUUCCCAUAUCUGUACUGAAGGUCUCAUCAAGCAAUCCAUUUACAUUCGGUUUUGCUCCUUGACCUGCCUCCAGUUGCUUAGUUCGUCCACAUUAAAUAGUGUUAGAAGGGAGAGAGGGAUUUGGUGGAAUAGUUGAUUUAUUGCUUGAGCCUCGUGGGCAUAUAUAUAUAGGAGUACAAUGAUCUACUUGGAGUAUAAGACAAGCCAGAACAAAUCCUAGUCUAUCUCGUCUUUCCUAAUAAAUAUUAUACUCAACAUUCCCCUGCAGUCACAACGAUAGCGACGCAGACGGUGAGACUGGAGAAGAAUCCGAAGGCAAGCCGACGGACACCCCUCCCCCCCAGUCGUAACGGUCGACGCAUCGCGGAGUCAUGGCUGGAGUGGAAACCGACGAGGUUGCUCAAGCAGGCGGUAGCCCUUUGUGCCGUUUGUCGAUGUAGCCGAGAGCGUGGGUGGUGGAGCCGUGGUCGAGGUAGCCGUGCGAAGAAUGCCGUGGUCGAUAUCGAGUCGGGGUAGCCGGUGUCGAGGAAGUCAUCGUGGAGCCGCGGGCGCAAGGGGGCGCCGAGUUAGCAUGGGCGCAGUGGUGUCGAAGUAGGGGUGCGCCGGGAAGAAAAUGUUGUUGACGACGCGUCGCGGCGGGUUUGCCAAGCCCGGGGACACAUUGUGGACGAAGGCACGCACCGGUGUUGCCAGCACCGGACAUGCGUAGACGGAUGAAGACGAAGUUGACGAAGCGCCGACCAGGCAUGCCAGGCCCGGGGACACGUCGUGGAUGAAGGCACGCAUCGGUGUUGCCAGCACUGGGCAUGCGUAGACAAGGGACAUGUACGAGCUGUACGCCAUGUCGGAGAAGUCGGAGGGGCCAGCAGAGAAGAACUCGACGACGAUUGCGGCGUCCAUCGGCGCGGGGCCGAUUUCACCAACGGUGGUCGGAGUAGACGAAGUGGUCGGGGUAGAUGACAGCGACACUGGCGACGGGCUGGUGCUUGGACGAAGACGAAGGGGGUGGACGGUGUGACGCCCUCGAUUCAAUUGUACACUAAUCAUACAUGCAAAUGUGUACGAUCAAGAUCAAGGACUCACGAGAAGAUAUCACAACACAACUCUAGACACAAAUUAAAAUAAUACAAGCUUUAUAUUACAAGCCAUGGGCCUCGAGGGCUCGAAUACAUAAGCUCGAAUACACAAGAGUCAGUGGAAGCAACAAUAUCUGAGUACAGACAUGAGUUAAACAAGAUUGCCUUAAGAAGGCUAGCACAAAAGUAGCAACGAUCGAAAAGGCAAGGCCUCCUGCCUGGGAGCCUCCUAACUACUCCUGGUCGUCAGCGGUCUCCACGUAGUAGUAGGCAUCGACGGUGGCAUCUGGCUCCUGGGCUCCGACAUCUGGUUGCAUCAACCGAAAAGAAGAAGAAAGGGGGAAAAGGGGGAGCAAAGCAACCGUGAGUACUCAUCCAAAGUACUCGCAAGCAAGGAUCUACACUACAUAUGCAACAUUAUCAAAGGAAGGCUGUAUAUGUGGACUGGGCUGCAGAAAUGCCAGAAUAGAGGGGAGAACCUAGUCCUAUCAAGGACUAGCAUCUUCUGGAAACCACCAUCUUGCAGCAACAGGAGGGAAUAGAGUAGCAUAAAGUAAUGUAGUAGAAGUGUUAUCAACCUCGGCCAGAGAUCCCUUCUCGACUCCCUGCGAGAAAGCAAUCCCAGAGCCAUACUAUCCAGUUAUCAUCACAAACCAAUUCUCAUCACAAGUAUCCAGUUCUAGUUGUAUCGAUCGGGAUACAACUCCAAGUGUCCGUUACCGUAGGACAGGCUAUCGAUAGAUGUUUUCUUCCCUGCAGGGGUGCACCAACUUACCCACCACGCUCGAUUAACUCCGGCCGGACACACUUUCCUGGGUCAUGCCCGGCCUCGCCCAAACAAUACGCCACAACCCGACCUAGGCUUAAUAGAGAGGUCAGCACGCCGGACUGAAUCUAUGCCCCCAGGGGUCAUGGGCCAUCUCCUCGGGAACUCCUGCAUGUUGCGUACGCGGCCGGUGAGCAGACCUAGCUACCUCCUUCAACAAGGCAGGUGCUUACGCAGUCCAACCCGGCGCGCGCCGCUCAGUCGCUGACGUCUAUUAAGCUUCGGCUGAUGCAUACGGCGCAGAACGCCCAUACUAUGCCCAGGUGAUGGUUAGUGCUAUCAGGCCAGAGGCCCCUCGGAUCAAAUAUCCAAAUUGUAGUGGAUUAGGAACGCGCGGUAACAAGCAGAGACUCACGAAAGAUGUGACCCCGUUGCCCCGUCUCGAGGACUUGCGGCGAGGGCUAGGAAUGCCCGGCCACGCCUCGUAAUUAUCUCGCGGGCACCCUCCAGGUCAACCCGUCUCCACAUCACUCGCAAUUAAGCUCGCGCGGGUACCCCUCAGGGCCGACCCGUCUUUAGUAACAUGGUCCAGUGUAAAGUCAUAGUAACCAUAGUAACUAUGUGUCCAAACAACAAGGGGAAAACCCGAGGAAUCACCCCCGGUGAAUUCCACUCGAUGUAAUCAUCAAGGUGAACGUAAGAGGAACCACCCCCGAGGUUCACACUUGAGGGGUUGCACGACAGAGUCGUAUCGGAAGUGGUUAAGGCGGAAUCGCCCUCGAUGACCACGACCGAUUAGCUAGACUACAGGGUUAACAUCAGAAGUGCUGUAGAGGUCUCACCCUCGGCACUCGAUAGUAACCCAGUAGUGUCGAGCCACUAAGGGGAAAGUGAUGUGCGGUGCCUGGUCUUCGAUCCCGUUGAUCGGGUCUUCAAUGAUGAAGCAGGGGCAACAAGGACAAGGUGGGGGUCAUUGAUGGAUCACUAACCAACCUAUACUAAGCAGUUUUAGGAUAAGCAGGUAGGUAACAAUGAGCAGGUUACAAAAGCAGGCUAUGCAUCAGAAUAGGAGCAAAUAAUAACAGUAGCAAAAUCUAAUGCAAGCAUGAGAGAAUGGAAUGGGCGAUAUCGGAAUGAUCAAAGGGGGGCUUGCCUGUUUGCUCUGGCAAGGAGGGGUCGUCGUCGACGUAGUCGAUCACAAGGGCAGCAUCGGUCUCGGGGUCUACCGGAGAGAAGAGGGGGAAGAAACAGUAAAUAUAAAGCAAACAUAGCAUCACAAAGCAUAACGUGGCAAUAUGUUGUGCCGGGUGUGACCUAACGUAUGGCUACACGAUAUAGGUGAAGGGGGAAAACAUCCGGGAAUGCUUUCCCGAAGUUUGGCAUUUUCGGACAGAUGAAACGGAGGGGAAAUGUUACAUGUUCGUUAUGCUAGGGAUGUGUGACGGACGAACGGACCGCGUAUUCGGAUUCGUCUCGUCGUUCUGAGCAACUUUCAUGUAUAAAGUUUUUCGAUCCGAGCUACAGUUUAUUUUCUACGAAUUUUAAAAGAUUAUGCAUUUUCUGGAAUUAUUAAUUUAACAGAAUUCACAGAAAAGCAAAAUGACGUCAGCAUUGCGUGGGGAUGAUGUCAGCAGUCAACAGACUCGCUGACCAGGUCAAAACUGACCAGUAGGUCCAGCGGGACCCACAUGUCAUAGAGAGAGUUAACAGAGUUUUAAAACGAACUAACAGAGUUAUUUAUCAGGAAGGCCCCACCUGUCAUGGACUAAUUAACUAAACUAAUUAGUUUUAAUUAUGAAAACAUUUUAAUUAGAGGAUUAAGCGGUGGGGCCCGCACGUCAGCGUUACAGAGGUGCCUAGUCAGCACGUUGACUGGGUCAAACCCAGUCAACGGGGCCUGCGGGGCCCACUGGCAGUGACCCAGGGGUGGCCCCAGGUGUGCCACGUUGGCGGUGGCCGGCGGCUGAACGCCGGCGACCGAAAACAUGGCGGAGGCGCUCGGGACCUCGCCGGAAUCCUCAUACAAGGGCCAUUUGGCCCGCACGUUUGGUGCGUUCGAACAAGUGAGCAACGCCUCAUCCAAACGAGGUAGCGCGGGGCCUCGAAAACGACCGGAGAUGGCUGGACGACGAGUUACCGCGGCGGCCGGAAUUCGGAAAUGUGCAGGUGCAGCUACGGCUUGAUUCUAAGAAAGCUAAGCGGCAUCAGCAGUCCUCCAGGAGCGCGCUACGGGGACUAGACGGAGCAGGAGGAGCUCGGGAGCUUGUGCACGGCAGCAAUGGCGGACGGCGGAGCCGGCGCUUAUGGCCAGCUAGCUAGGGAAGGAGGAGCAAGGACGGGGAGGGAGGAGGCGGAGCUUACGGGGCAGGCACACGGAGGCCUCUUGGGGGUCGGGAGCGCAGAGGGAGGCCUGUGGCUCCGGUGAUCGCCGGUGACCACCGAGAAGGGGAAGAGGGCGAUGCCGACGUCGCCGACGUCCCCGGCUCCAGCUGAUGCACGAGGACGAUGAAGCGGAGGACGGCGCACCUCCCAGGCUCGGUUGCCGGGCUCGGGGACGCCGGUGGCCGCGGGGACGACGAAGACGCGGCGUCGGAUGCGCUCGGUGGAGAGGGAGAGAGCUCGAGGGAGAGGCGAGAGAGAGAGGGCAGAAUGGAGGAGGCGUCCAGGGGAGUGGAUGAGGAGGAUCUAGGGAAAGGUGAGCCCGAGGCGUCGCCCUUAUCCACCUCGACGCCGGCGAGCGGGUGCGGUUGGGGCGCGCUCGGCGCGCGCACCGGGUUGGUGGAACAGGAGGGAGGGGAGAGCGACCGGGGAGGGGGCGUGGGCCGACCUGCUGGGAUGGGCCGAGGCCCAAGGGAAGGCCAGGGGCUUCUCUCUCUCUCUCUCUCUCUCUCUCUCUCUCCUCUGCCUUUUCCCUUUUCUUUUUCCUUUUUGUUUCUUUUAUUUGUUUUGUUUUGCAUUUUUCUUUCAGUACCAAAAUGAGUUUUGUUUUCAACAAAACUUGGCACAAAACCUUGAGAUGGAACAAAAAGUUUGGGGUCAAAAGGAGUUGCCUAAUCAAUUUUAGAAAUUGAAAAGUCCAAUUUAAAUGCUGCUGGAGCACCAAUUAAUUCCCAUGGGCAUUUUGGAAAUUCAGAAGAGGUUGGUUCAACAUGACAGUGAUCAGGGAAAUUUAUAUGAUAAGGUGAACAUUUUAGUUUUGCUGCCCAAAGAAAUAAUUUAUUAGACUUAUUUUAAAUUUGAAAAAGGCUUUGAUUUUUGGACAAGUGGCAAGCUACAUAGUAAUCACGAUGACAUGGCCACCAUUAGGGGGAGAUUACUGUAGCAUGAUUCUCGGGGUGUUACAGACGGGCGGCAGCGGCGGCUACGAAGGUAGCGGCAGCGGCGGCCAAAGAAGAGCGGCGGCGGCGGCCUGACGGCGCCGGCGGCGGCUAGGUUAGGAGUGUGGCGGCGGUGCUCGAAGUAGGCGAAGAACCCUGACAGCGUGACGCAGACCGGCACGGAUGGUGGCGUUCCCGCGCCAAGAAGAUGGCGCGACGCAUACCACGUGAGGUCGACGCGCGGUAUCGGCGGAGCGGACCGUGGGCCGCGGCGCUACGGACCGUGGGCCGCGGCGCAGCGGCUGCAGGCGGGUCGGAGCGACUGCGGGAAGACCUCUGGGCGGCGGCGGGGACCGCGGACCGCGACGCUGCGGCCCGAAGGGGCGACACAACGGCGGUUCGCGAGUUGGUGCAACCGCGGGGACGGCCUCGGGGCGGCGGCGGGGACCGCAUAUCGCGACACUACAUCCCAAAGGGGCGACGCAGCGGCGACGCACGAGUCGAUGUAGCCGCGAGGAGAACCACGGGGUGGCGGUGCUGCGGCCCGACGGGGCGACGCAGUGGCAGCCCGAUGCUCGAUCGGUGGAGAGGCGCGCUGAACUCGGGGACGAUCUUCACGGGACCUGCGGAGGCUCGCGUAACCGACGGGCCAGGUCGGUCGCACGGCGUAGAUGAGGCGGAUCGCGGCGGCGAGCGGGUGAUCAAGCCGAUCGCGCGCGAGGUCGGGGACGCCGCUCGAUGGAGGCGUGGUGGCGGCGGAGUCCGAGAUGAAGCCGGCGACGACGGGCGGCGUGGGACAUCGUGCAGACGAGCAUGUCAGCACCGGCACCCGGGCUGCCAAAGCAACACCGGCGCCCGGGCAGCGAGGCCCGAGCGACCAACGGAGCAGCGGCGCCCGAGUUGAGGCAGCCGACGAGCCUGACGCAGCCAUCCCGACGCAGCCGAGGACGAGGCCGGCGAGGUAGACCACCGGGCCGCCGUGCAGACGCGAUGGAGGCGGGUGAUGUGGAUCGAUGGGCGGGCCGGCGCGCGAGCGACGGCUAUGAUUGGCCGUCGCAUGGCGCGAGGCCGCCGGGUCGGAGCGAUGCAGGUGUCCCAGUCGGAGCAGGGCGGUGACGGCGCAGGGCGAUGGGCGGACCGACGCGCGGACGGCGGCUGGCCCUGACGGGCCGCCUCGGCGCGCGUGGCCGCCGGGUCGGAGGAGAGGCCGGCUGGUCGCGCCGGGGUCGGAGUAGAGGCGCUCGGGGUCGACGGCGGCGGUGGGCGACGCAAACCGAUCGAGAAUAGAUCGGAAAACCAAAAAGAAACCGCGCGAUCAAGAUGACCGGCGGGAGAGAGAAAACCUCGGAGCAAGACUCGGGGAAAAGACUCUCUAAGGCAGCCAGUCAACACGACCGGCGGACGAACACUAGGUACGGGCGACGCGGCCCCCAGCGGCGGUCAUGGAGGCCGAUCGCCCCGGGGACAGCGCACGGGUGUGGAAGCGGCGGCGGCUAGGGUUUAGGAUCAACUUGCGAUAGAUAUCAUGUUAGAAGGGAGAAAGGGAUUUGGUGGAAUAGUUGAUUUAUUGCUUAAGCCUCGUGGGCAUAUAUAUAGGAGUACAAUGAUCUACUUGGAGUACAAGACAAGUCAGAACAAAUCCUAGUCUAUCUCGUUUUUCCUAAUAAAUAUUAUACUCAACAAAUAGUAGGAGUAGUAGUUAACUAAUCCUUACUAUCUGCAGGUUUUCUGAUCAGAGCUAUAGCAAGAACCAAGAGCCAAAAAGGCAGGUCACCCGUUUUUCUUUCCAAGUUUUCCUAGGGUCAUUCAAGCAAAUGAAUUGGCUUUUCAACAAGAGGAAUCCCCACACGUUUCGAGUACCACAAGUUUUUCUUUUGAACCAGGUUAACCCCUCUCAAUUAAUAGCAGUACCACGAGUUUCUUGGAAAUAAUCAUGAUGUAUUUAUAUCAUUAUUAAUAAUCAAGAUGUUUUGCCUGAGGCGCACACAUGGAUGACUCCUCCAUCCGACGUUGACACGAAGCGCACGCGGCCCGUGGUAUGGUGGAAACCAUGUCUUUCAGCGUGUGCAUCACCCCCAUCUAAUCUUAUCUUAUCUCUCUGCCUUGUCUGGUCGUAAAGGACAAAACCAUGGCCCACUGUGCGGGAACCAGAGCGAGAGGUGCAGCGCAAGCAAGCAAAAGCGAGCUCUCCUGAAACUGAAAGCACCCGGUUUCUUUUUUUUUUUUUUUGAGAUCCGCGGCCGCCUGUUUUGCUCCGGCUCUUCCGUGUAUAUAACCCCGUCCCACUCCCACUCUUCCUCCCGUCAACACAAACCAGUAUCAAUUCAGCGAGAUAGUUCAAGAGAAUCAGCUCUGUUCUUUCAGUACCGCAACUUUGCAAGUCCACUACUACCAUACAGAAGGAUCACAAGUCAGUGUCCACUCUCCAGCAGCGCAGCAAGAACAAGGAGGAGGAGGAGGAGGAGAGAUGGCUGCUCCGGCGAAGGCGUCGUGGAUGGUGGCCAUGAGCGUGGGCGCUGUGGAGGCCCUCAAGGACCAGGCUGGACUCUGCCGCUGGAACUACGCACUCAGGUCCGUCCACCGGACAGCCAAGGCCAACGUUCGAGGCGGCGCCUCGCAGGGCAAGAAGCAGCUGCCUGCCUCCGCGGCAGCCGUGGCAGAGAGGCGGCGAGCGGAGAAUUCCGAGGAGGGGCUGAGGACGGUCAUGUACCUCAGCUGUUGGGGCCCAAAUUAGGAGUACUAGUAGCUAGGGCAUAGGGGCGCUUGUGUUCGUUGCAGCAAGAGUAACCUUGUACGAAGACAUGGCCUGAGAGACUUCCUGGUUGUCCCCAUGAUCGGUUGUAAAGAUACCAUGAUGAUGAUGAAAAUUUCGCCUACGAGUUUAUAUCACUGUCCUUGGUCAUGUGCAUCUUUGACUAUUUGUCUUGAGAGGAAGAAAGUUGAGAGUUACUCCGGGAGAGCAACUCAGGGAGGCGAGGUGAGAAGCAUACAGAAAACAGAGCAAGUUCAGCCGCCUGUACAAUACAACCCAAAACUCUGCACAAAGGAAUAAAGGAUAGAACGGAUCUUGGCGAUACACCCGGCUGCCCUCCAAGAUCUUCGUCUUGUCUGAUCAACUCGAACACCUCCAGGUCGCUGAAACGGUGGCUAUUAAUGAUUAUGGCGUCGCGUUCUGUCCAACAAAUUCUUCUCCAGUUGUUUUGAUUCGGAACAACAUGUAUAUGCUUUGCAUUGGUUGCAAGUACUUUCUGUUGCGCGAGUCGACCCGGCUCACAGCAAGUGCAGGGUUCAAGGGAUAGGGAUGCCACUGAAGCCAGUCGCCACUAAGGCAGAGUCGUCAUUCUCUAAAUAUGUUCUUUUUUAUUAGAACGAGCGCGACGGCACAGUGAAGCACAUCGCAAUGUGUCGGUGGAAACGACAUCUAUGGAAUCACGAGGAUCCCUUCUGCGGUUGGCGGGCGCGGGGUUGUGUAAAGAGCGGGUCUAGUAGUUAGCACAAGGAGAUUUUACCUAGGUUCGGGCCGCGUAGAUGCGUAAUACCCUAGUCCUGCUUUAAUGUAUAUUUGAGUGUUCUUGAGUUCUUGAUCUAGCUACGGUGCGUGCGUGGUUCAAAAAGUCCGAAUCCUCUCUCAGUACGCCGCGGGCCUCCUUUUAUAGUAAAAAAGGGGUUGCCACAGUGACACACAGGAGGUGGAAAGUUAUACAGUGCACAAGCUUAUCGCCUGGCAUCACAGGACAAAACGCAUUAAAUGCGCUAUUUAGGUCUCCUCUUGCUUUAUCAGGAACGGUAACAAAGCCCGUCCCGUCCGUCGCCGCUUCGCCUUGCUUCGACAUGCGUCCAGGCCAACGGGGCGUGCAGCGCCAUGUAGGCUGGCAGGCUGCUGAGCUGGCGCGGUGGCCACGAAGAUCUGCAUGCCACCACGCAGGUGCUUGUCUAGUUGGCUUAGGAGUCAUGUACUGCCACGUGGGUACUUGUUUAGUUGGUGGGUCGACCGCUGAGCUGGGGCGGCGACGGGGCGGCAAGGCCUUGCCGCGGUCGUGCUGAUAUUCCCGGCAAGGGUCUUGCCGGGGCCUUGUGAGCGCCCUCGGCAAGAGUCUUGCCGGGGCCUCGUAGGUGUCUUCGGCAGAAGUCUUGCCGGGGCCUCGUGGGCAUCCUCGGCAAGGAGCCUUGCUGUAGUCUUGUCUUCUGGUUCUCAUCUAGGCCUUGCAGGCUCUUUGUCUUCACAAAGAUCUGCAUGCCACCAUGCAGGCGCCUCCCGAGUCUUGGUUCCAAUGUUUGUCGAUGGUGUCGGAACUCUCAGGCUCAAGUGUGGGGGCCUCGCUGGAGUUGGGCAAGUUGCCCCUGCAAGGCUCUUGCCGGGGCUGUGUGGGCUGCCCCGGCUAGGGUCUUCCCGGGAGGAAGCCCAUCUUGUUGCCUCGUCGUCCGCGCCCCUGGUUGGAGCGCUGCUCUGGUAGUCUUGUACUUUUGCCUCCUUUGCCACGCCAAGCGUGGCCAUCGGCUCGUGGUUGUGACUGCGGGCGCACAAGUAAAGGGGUACCAAAAGGACCGCUAAUUUUGUACACCGACAGGAGCCCCCAGGCCUGGGCCACAUAUAAGUGCGGAGCGUUAUUGGGCCAGGCCCAGAAGAGUGCGCGGGUCCGCGUGUGGCGGAGUUUUACCGCAUUAAUUCCCUCGCCAGUUGCGCUUCCCCACGACCCGCGUUGAAUGCGUGACGUGGGGGUCGUGCGUGGAGUGAUUGCUGCACGCGCGCGUCCCAUCGUGGUAAAUGGUAAAGAGGCGGCCCGCGUCUCCCCUACAAAGAAUAGAGGAAGCUGCAGGGGCGCGGCUCAUUUACUAAGUGGACUCGGGUCAUGGCCAUUAUGGCAGCCUCGUCCUACUGUUAGAGUAGUCAUUAUGGUAUACGACUUCUAGUCCAAGUCAGUUUUGUAUCCCUACCCCAAGUCGGUUUGUACCCUCUUAUAUACUCUUGUAUGCCGCACCAAAUCAUCAAUAAGCAACAGUUUUAUUCAGCUUUCAUGGUAUCAGAUACCGGUCCUAGGGUUUAGGGUAUGGCUCCGCCAACGCCACCGCCACCGCCGCCGCCCGGCUACUUCGAGCGCCGGGCCGCACUCAUCGCCAAGGCUGCCAACGCCACGGCCGCUUCUCUCUCGGCCCUCACCAUAACUCCACAAAACUACCCUGCACCGAUCCUCGCCGCACCAAUAUCUCUUGCUGACACAAUCUCCGACGUCAGCCCCUACAUCCCCAUAGUUCUUGAUCUCGCUGCCCACAACUACUACCAUUGGAGACAUCUCUUCGAUCUCCACCUCGGCCGCUGCAACCUGCGCUCGCAUGUCACCGCCAACUGUCUUCCCCGCCCCGACGAUCCGCAAUGGUUGAAAGACGAUCUUGCGAUCGUCCAGUGGUUCUACACCCGCAUCACCACCGAGAUCUUCAACAUGCUCGAUCACGACGGCGCCACCGCUGCCAACAUCUGGCACUCCCUCCGUCAGCUCUUCCACAGCAACACCGACGCUCGGAAAAACGCUCUCCACACCGAGCUUCGCAAUAUGGUGCAAGGAGACGCCCGGUGAACCUGUUCUGCCAGCGCGUUAAGACCAUUAGUGAUGAGCUCCGCGAACUCGGCGAUACAGUUAGCGACUCACAGCUAAUCAAUAUCGUCGUCGUCGGCCUCAGCGAAGACUUUGACAAGCAAGCCUCGUUCAUACCGAUGAUACGGCCCCCUCCUACCUUCGCUGAAGUUCGUUCCUUGCUACAACUCGCGGAGGAAACACAAGCUCGCAAGGACUCUCGCCCCAAGGUCUUUCAUGCUGCGGCUCGUCCUCCUCUGUCGUCUACACCAGCGCCGCCUUCCAGGCCGGCUCCUGCCGCCGGGCCGUCCGCAUCGUCAUCUGUUGAACCGCCCCCAGGCUGGCGUCCUAGUCUGAACUACCGCGGCAAAAACCCUAUCUACAGGCCGCCGUCGACUCGUUCGGUUCCGCCUACGACAUCCCCAGCACCGAGUCCUGCACCACCCACCAGUGCUCCAUCUGCGGUUGCAUGGCGGCCUCCUCAUGAUCCUUGGACGGGGCUUGUUCAAGCAUGGCCCAUGCCCUGGUCCGCUCCGUCCACCCUCGGUGCUCCGCCGGCAUACUCAGGUGCCUGGCAACCCGGCCUUCGGCCGCCUACUGGUGCUCCCGGGGUUCUCAACCCCCGACAGCCGGCCAAUGCCUAUCACGCCGCCCCGACGUAUGCUCCUUAUGGUCAUUACAGCACCGACGGCGGCGCCUACUACACACCUCAGCCAGUCCUGCUCCCGACGCCACCCCCACCACAGCCGGCCAAUGCCUACUACACUCCCCAGCCGGCCCUACUGCCUUCACCAUCGUAUCCGCCGGCACCGCUUCCGACGCCACCCUCACCUGCGACGCCAAGCUGGGAUCAAGCUGCCUUUCUCCAGGCCAUGAAUAACUUUGCUGCACAAGGAAACUCAGGUACGGAUUGGAUCUUUGAUUCAGGGGCCUCUAGUCAUAUGUCUGCAUCUAGUAAUUGGUUAUCUUCUUGCACUAAAUCUCCUUUCCCUUCCAUUAUCCUUGGAGAUGGAUCAUCUAUUCCUAUAUAUUGUGUUGGUCAGGCUCAACUUCCCUCUUCCACCAAACCUCUUUUACUUCGCGAUGUUCUAGUUGCACCCGCCCUCAUUAAAAAUCUUAUCUCUGUUCGCCAAUUUACUUGCGACAAACUAGUUUCGGCUGAAUUUGACCCUUUUGGUUUAUCCGUGAAGGAUUACCUGACCAAGGCCGAGAUCGCUCACUUCAAUAGCUCCGGUGAUCUUUAUUCUCUUAAUGGAGUUCCUGCCGCUACCCCUCCAACAUCCAUGCUGGCCUCCGUCGAUCUCUGGCAUCGUCGCUUGGGCCAUCCCAACCCCGCCGUCUUAGCUUCUAUGCUUAGUGAAUUUACCAUACCAUGUCAUAGGGACUCUCAUAAUUCUGUGUUUUGCGAGUCUUGUCAAUUAGGCAAACAUGUGCAUCUUCCCUUUAGUUCCUCUAGUUCUUGUAGCACUUAUCCCUUUGAAUUAAUACAUUGUGAUUUAUGGACCUCUCCCAUUGCAAGUAUUUCGGGUUUUAAAUACUACCUUGUUAUCCUAGAUGAUUUCACCCACUUUGUCUGGACUUUUCCUCUACGCAACAAAUCCGAGGUCCAUUCUCUUUUCCUUAAUUUUCAACGCUAUGUGUCUGUUCACUUCUUCCUCCCAUUUCGCUUUAUCCAAUGUGACAAUGGUCGCGAGUUUGAUAACAUUAAAAAUCGUACUUUCUUCUUACAACAUGGCAUCCUGCUUAGGUUCUCAUGUCCCUACACCUCCCCUCAAAAUGGUAAAGCAGAACGCUCUCUUCGCACCCUCAAUGAUAUAGUUCGCACUCUCCUCAUUCAAUCAUCUAUGCCUCCCAAGUUUUGGGCUGAAGCCCUACACAUGGCCACCUUCCUUCUAAAUAUUCGACCUUCUAAAACUAAACCCAACACUACUCCCUAUUAUUCCCUCUUUCUUUCCCACCCCGACUACUCCGUUGUUCGUGUUUUCGGCUGUCUCUAUUUUCCCAAUGCCUACGCCACUUCUGCAAAUAAAUUGUCACCACGCUCUAUCCCAUGUGCUUUUCUCGGCUUCUCUGACGAGCACAAAGGCUAUCGCUGUCUCGACCUUCACACCGGACACGUUCAUGUCUCUCGUCAUGUCACGUUUGCUGAGCACAUUUUUCCUUUCUCACAACGCACUACUACACCAUCCAACACCCCUAGCUCCGCAAACACCCCCUCUUCCCGUCCUUUCCAACUAUAUACUCCCCUACCUGCCGAACACAACUUAUCACCACCACCAUUAACACCCACCAUAGCCAAUCCCAACCAUACACUCACCCCACCCGAGACGUCUCCAACUCCCCCGACCCCUGCUUCCUCCCCAACACCCCCGGCCCCUACUCCCACUCCACCACCCAGCCCUGCUCCCACUCCACCACCCAGCCCUACUCCUUCGUCCGACUCUUCCGCUGCGCCGGACUCACCAGUACCCACCUUACCCCCUCGUGCUAUUCCUACAGCAGCCCCGAUUAAUGAUCAUCGCAUGCGUACUAGGGCCAAAUCAGGAUUUCAUCAACCCCAAGACCGCCUAAACCUUCAUACCUCCGUAUCUCUCACUUAUCUUCCAAAGAAUUACAAAACUGCUCUACUUGAUCCCAAUUGGGCCGCUGCCAUGCAAGAAGAAUAUAAUGCUUUACUUCAAAACAACACCUGGCAACUUGUUCCUCAUCCUCCCAAUACAAAUAUUGUUUCUGGCAAAUGGAUUUUUUGCCAAAAGUUCCACUCCGAUGGGAGCCUCUCACGAUAUAAAGCCAGGUGGGUUUGUCGUGGCUUUUCUCAGCAACAAGGAAUUGAUUAUGAAGAAACCUUCUCUCCUGUUGUUAAACCUAGCACCAUUCGCACCGUUCUUAGUGUUGUUGUCUCCUCUUCAUGGCCCAUUCACCAACUUGAUGUUAAAAAUGCUUUCCUCCAUGGUUCCCUUCAAGAAACUGUCUACUGCCAGCAACCUCUGGGUUUUGAAAAUCCAUCCUUUCCAACUCAUGUAUGUCUUCUUCAGAAAUCUCUCUACGGUCUUAAACAGGCCCCACGAGCUUGGUUUCAACGCUUCUCCUCCUUCAUUCAAACAAUAGGCUUCACUCCAUCUCUCUCCGACACCUCUCUUUUUGUGUAUCAUCAAACUUCUGACACUGCCUAUUUACUUCUCUAUGUAGAUGAUAUCAUUCUUACCGCCUCCUCUCAAAAGUUCUUAGAUCAUAUUGUCUCUCUUCUUAGAUCUGAAUUUUCUAUGACUGACCUAGGACUCCUUCAUCAUUUCUUAGGCAUUGCUGUUGUUCGAGAUUCCUCCAGCCUUUUUCUUUCCCAACACCAGUAUAUUCUUGAUCUUCUUAAUCGUGCUGGUAUGCUUGACUGUCAAUCAUUCGCACUCCUAUCGAUACUAGUUUUAAACUUUCGGCUAUCGGUGAACCCUUUUCUGAUCCUACUCUCUAUCGUAGCCUAACAGGUGCUCUCCAAUAUCUCACCAUUACUCGUCUUGAAAUCUCUUUUGCUGUUCAACAAGCAUGUCUCUAUAUGCAUGAUCCCCGGGUUCCUCACUAUAAUCAUGUUAAACGCAAUCUUCGGUAUUUAAAAGGAACUCUCAAUCAUGGUCUCCACCUCAAUAAUUCUUCUCCAAACUCGCUUACCGCAUACUCUGAUGCAGACUGGGCUGGUUGUCCUGACACUCGAAGGUCCACUUCCGGUUUUUGUGUUUUUCUUGGUAACAAUUUGAUUUCUUGGUCUUCGAAAAGACAUGUUAUAGUCUCACGUUCGUCGGCCGAGGCUGAGUAUCGCGCUGUGGCACAUGCCGUUGCAGAUACCAUCUGGAUUCGGCAGUUACUCUCCGAGCUACACAGGCCUAUUGAGCAGGCCACUAUUGUCUACUGUGACAACAUAUCAGAGUCUACAUGACCAGCAAUCCAGUUCAACACCGACGCACAAAGCAUAUUGAGAUUGAUAUUCAUUUUGUUCGUGAAAAGGUUGCUCUUGGUCAGGUUCGGGUGCUUCAUGUUCCCUCUACGGCUCAGUUUGCUGACAUUUUCACCAAGGCACUGCCUACUAAGCCGUUUCAAGAUAUCUGUUUCAGUCUCAACGUCGUCGAGCCUGCCGUUGAUACUGCGGGGGGAUGUUAGAGUAGUCAUUAUGGUAUACGACUUCUAGUCCAAGUCAGUUUUGUACCCCUACCCCAAGUCGGUUUGUACCCUCUUAUAUACUCUUGUAUGCCGCACCAAAUCAUCAAUAAGCAACAGUUUUAUUCAGCUUUCACCUACGACCACGGGGGGCGAAACAGCCGUUCCACUUGUUAUCUGAAUUCUGGCUCUCCCGCCACGUGUCCUCCAUGCGUCGGGGAGGGCAGGCGGUGGACACAGAAGGUAUGGGCUUUAACGUCGGGGCGAGGGCCGGGCGUCGCUAAUUGGGGCAGCGGGUCGGUCAUGUCUCCUUGCGCCUCCGGCAGCUGCAUCGGUUGACUGGGGCGGUCGCCCUCAGGCUGGUUCGGCCCCGUCCCCCUAUAAAAAGGGGAGAGGGGCAGCACCUUCUCGCAUUCAUCCUCUGCCAGUUCAAUCCCUUCCCUUCCCUUGUCAUGGCGAGAGGGUGCGGCGGCGCUCUAGCGGUGGCGACGAGGGCUUCUGCUCAACAGCGUGUCCCCCUCCUCCGGAACUCAUGGUGGCGGAGCCCGCAGUGAGAGGAGGAGGGAGGGGGCGAGGCCGAGGUCGCCGUGGCGCUCGGGGAGAGGAGGACGGGGCGGCGCACCGGCCGUGCUCCCGCCAGCGGCUCCUCUCCCAAUGGAGGGCCACGUCGAAGAUCAGCCUCGCGAGUUCUUCAUCAGGCUGUACAAGCCGGUGUGCGGUCAUCUUCGCCUCCCCACCCCGUUCGCUUGGGAGAUGGAGCUCGACCCGCCAGAAUCCUUGAGAUUGCACAUAAGGGGCUGUGGGAUUGGCGCCAUACAGGUUGAUGUCGACUUCCCCGCCCCUCACAUUAUGUAUCUCCGUCAUUGGUGGAAGACCUUUGCUCGUGCCCAUAGCCUGUCGGAGGGGCACGUUCUCCAGUUCAAAUUAAUGGAGAACGGCCUGCUCUCCAUCAAGGUUUUUGGGCGUUCGGGAAUCAGGUUAGGGUGCUGUGCGGAGAGCUCGACCAAUGACGAAAGCUCCUCCUCGAGCGAAAGUGAUGAGGAGGACACCGAUGGGGAAGACGACGGGGACGGGUCCGACUAAGUGUCGGACAUGCCGUCCCCGGGCGACGUCGACAGCACCAUCAUCUGCACCUGGCCUUCCCCUAGGCAGAGCGAUUUGCUGGGGGUGGGGCCAGCUCCUUGAACUUCUCGGGGUUGUCGCCUUGGGCGGCUGGCGUUGGGAGGCCGGAGAAGAUGAAGAAGGCGGGUGGCGGGCCGUCAAGUCGGAGUACGAUGGCACCGACGCCUUCAUCGCGUAUUGCCGCCCCGCUGCCUCAUCUUCCGGCUCUUCUCCCGGCACCAUCAUCACCAGCUCUCUUCUGGACGACCGCCGGAUGUUCUCUUGGUGUCUUGUGCGGCUCGUACCUCGCCUAGGCACUUCUUUUGCCCUCCCACAAUCUUGAUCCAUUUCCUGAGGAGAGGGACAAGAAAGGGAUUACGGGUAACUUAUCUCUUUUUAGUUUUUAAGCCUGCGGGCAUUUGCCAGAUUUAAACUUUGUAAUCCCCUUGUUCAUGUUCACAUUCCGUAUGAAUUGUACUUGUUAACAACAUAUUAACGAAAGAGGGUUCUUGCCGGGUCCUUUUGUGUGCGACCGGAUCUCACACAAAGGAACGAGCCCUUGUUAUCUUAAGAUAAACAUCGUCACCCAGCAACAGACCUUGUCGUCCUCCCGCUCCAUAGCCCGACCACGCUCACGCCCUUGGCGGAGGUAGGGGCAAAGUAGGAUUAGGCCCUUCAUUUUGUUCCCUUUCCAUCGCACUACAACCAAGUUCCGGCCAAAGAAAGGUUUUUGGACGCGGGAAAGAGGGAGCACGGCGGUAUAGGAGUAAGUGAAGCUUCAUAUGUUCAAGUCUCAUACGGAAGCGUAGAGUGGGGGAUGAAAAACUUAUCUGAUUCUGCAGCCCCCGGCAAUCUUGGCUUGCCGUGGUUGGAUAUCUGGAUCUGCAGCCCCCAGCAACCUUGGCUUGCCGGCGUUAGGGCGUCGACCUGUUCCCUUUCUUCCAAACAGCUCAGCAGAAAACGCCCGCGCAUCCUGCGAACUAAAACAAAGGACGGGAAGGAACAGAAGAAAGACGCAGACUCGACCUCUAUGCUAAGGGUUAGUCGUCGCCAAGCACUAUCAACCCUAACAAAGAGGGAGACUCAACCUAGCAUGCAUGCUAAAACUUAGGGCGCCAGCGCUUCAUCUAUUUAUGCUCAGGGUCUGCGCCUGGCUUUGUACAAAGGGAUACAUGCCUCGCCGGCAAGGCUUGUACAAAAGGUGGUCUGCCCGGGGGCCAGGCAACCGCGCCUUACGGGUAAAACUUGCGAAGAUGUUCGAUGUUCCAGGAGUUGCUCACUGGAAUACCAUAUUCGGUCUCCAGGCGGACUGCGCCGGGCCUGGUGACUCGUAUUACCUGAUAAGGGCCUUCCCACUUCGGCGUCAACUUGUUGGAAUUCUUGGCCGACUGAGCGUGCCGAAGAACAAGGUCGCCUUCCUCAAAGCUUCGGGCAUAAACCUUGCGGCUAUGGUAGCGGCGCAAGGCUUGCUGGUAGCGUGCUGCUCGCACAGCCGCCCGAAGACGAUCUUCCUCAAGGAGCGUUGCGUCAUCUUUCCGCAAUUGCUCUUGCUCCAGCUCAUCAUAAGUGAGCACUCGGGGUGACCCGUAUGUGAGUUCCGUGGGGAGAACUGCUUCUGCCCCGUAAAUGAGGGAGAAGGGCGUCUGGCCGGUGGCUCGACUUGGUGUCGUUCUGAUUGACCAAAGAAUCGUCGGCAAUUCAUCAAUCCAACGCCUUCCGCACAUGUGUAGCCUGUCAAAAGUCUUUGUCCGGAGGCCCCGCAGUACUUCAGCAUUUGCCCUCUCCGCCUGGCCGUUGCUCCGUGGAUGUGCAACAAAAGCAAAACAGACGUUGCUGCCGAGGUCUUGGAUGUACUGCAUGAAGGUGUGGCUUGUGAACCGCGUGCCGUCACUGGUGCGCAUCGGUCCUAAACAAACGGUUUAAAACCCCUUUCCGCGACGGCAUUUGGAACCGUCGCCAAGUGAGUGUGGGCGAUAGGGGGGGUCCUUCCCACACGACCCAGAAAUCGUCGGGGAUAGGCCCUCGUGGGACCCAGGCUGGGGCCGUGUGCGAUCGGGCAAGGCAUGGAAACCAAAUAUGUACAUCCCACACGGUGAAUCCCAGAAAUCAUUUCCAUAGGUAUGUACAUCCCACACGGUGAAUCCCAGAAAUCAUUUCCGUAGGUAUGUACAUCCCACACGGUGAAUCCCAGAAAUCAUUUCUGUAGGUAUGUACAUCCCACACGGUGAAUCCCAGAAAUCAUUUCCAUAGGUAUGUUCAUCCCACACGAUGAAUCCCAGAAAUCAUUUCCGUAGGUAUGUACAUCCCACACGGUGAAUCCCAGAAAAUCAUUUCCGUAGGUAUGUACGUCCCACACAGUUCUUUGUGUGGAAACGUGUGUGCAAGGUGGCCUAACGCAAACAGUUCGCUGCCGGAAGCCGUGUAUGAUUGUUAGUUGAUCGAACACGCCUACUUUCUAGAAACCGUGCGGGUUGUUUGAGUUCAUCGCCCACGGUGCUGUCUGAGUAACCGUCUGCAAUAGAAAACCCCAAUAAGCAGGGUAAUUAGCCUAUUAUUGAUAAUCCAUGUACUAAUCAAACUGAUAUUUCUUAUAAAACACGCCAGAUAUUUCAUAUCCGAAUAAAAGCAACCAGGAUUUCAUAAUGGAAUUACAUCAGAUAGCUUCGGCACUCAGUUACACCAUUACACAGCAGCACCAAGCUUCACAUGCAGCAUCAAAAACCUUUGGAAAGUAGCAUCAUACACGUAAAUAGACAGAUGAAUCUCAUCUGGGAAACUGCAGAAGCGGAAGACAAAUAUUGAGCCUUCAGUGAUGUUGAAUGUCCUUGCAACUUUAGGCCAGUGGCUAUGGAUAAUUGCCCGCCCAACCUUUGUCCUCUUCAGCAAGACUUCAAUAUUGUACCGUGGGUGUUGAAUGAAUACCUUCCUCGCCUCUUGACCAUGCAGGUAGUUUGAGAACUAAUCAUCGGUGAACUGCAUUGAAAAGUACUGAAAACAAAGCUAUGCAUAAAUCACUGUUGUAAAUUUUGAAAUGGCGCAAGGGGUAAAAACAAGGUAAAAGAGUUGGUACCAUCCUAUAGUUGACUGAUGUCUUCUUCAUUGUGCAAACAAAGAUCUUGCUGUUAUUCCUCGCAAGUUUCUUCAUCCUAACAAUCUUUCUGAGUUUCUUGACUUGACUGAUAUUCAUGGACAUCUCAUUUCCCCAUAUGCAAAAUGGGUCGAACAGUGGGUCUAAGCCUCUGACAGCAGGACCUACAUGUGCAAGACCAAAUUGUAAGAAACCUAAAUAUUAGAAUGAUUCCUGCAACUGCACAAUAAUGUGCUAUUAGCCAAAGGACCCUGCUUGAACAAACCUCGACGGUAAACCGCAGUGUCUCCCAUUGUUUCCCUGCAACACACAUAAGGAAGAUCUUGAUCAGGUUAACUGAGAGUUGCCAUACUAUCAGUAGAAUAUGUAUUGAGUACAGCCAAAUGCGAUUGGUGUCACAUGCAUAACAAUACAAAAUUGUACCCACAGCAAAUGAAAAUCAAAUUGCAGAACUGAACCAAACAGUUAAAUGGACAGCAAACCAAAUGAACCAAAAUAGUUAACUGAGCACGACAUUGCAGAAUAGAAACAUGUACUAGAAGAUAAGAUAGUUAACAAAACAAGGAAUGCUUGAGAACAGUACUACGAAAUGUAGCAAUUGUUGGACCAAAGUGUUAACUGAACAUUACAUUUCAGAGGACCAAACUGUUAACUGAACAUCAGAUUGCAUAUUAACAUUACAGAGAACAAAUCACUAGAAGGCACUGGCAGUGGCCACGAGAAAACAUCACGAACUGUAUUUUAAAGUAGACAACCGCGCGGCGGUGUCGACAGUGGCCUCGAAGACAAGGUGCUCCUCCAAGAUAUGGCGGUCGACACGCAUGUCAGCCAUAGUGACCUCGUUCGCGCAUGCGGCCGCAUACUAUUCAGCUCCACGUUAUACUGCGUGUAAAAUGCAUGGUUGUGGGUGGCGCUUAAUUGGAGGAGGGGGGCAGUGAUUUUGGUGGAAGGUGUCGCUCCAUCAGUCGGGGCAUGUGGGACGGGAAAGGAGGAGGAUGGCGUGGGUGGGGUGUGGAUUACCUGACCAUAUCGACAAGGCCGCGCAGCAAGAAGAAGGGUCGGUGGCGAGGAGGCUGCGCAGCAAGAAGAAGGGUUGCCGGCGAGGAGGCGGCGCUGCAAGAAGAAGGGUCGCCGGCGAGGAGGCGGCACUGCAAGAAGAAGGGUAGCCGGCGAGGAGGCGGCGCUGCAAGAAGAAGGGUCGCCGGCGAGGAGGCUGAGCUGCCAGUAAGCAACAGUGAAGGUUUGAACUUGGAAAGCAAGGAGGAACAUUGGAAAUGUGGCUUUUGGUAGGAGGGAGGGGGCGGGGAGAUAGAUAUUUCCGCGGUGGCAAAAAAAAUUCGCUCGGUGUCGCGAGAAACUGGCGCGCAAGUGUGGUUCAAGCGGGGGCGGUGGACUGUAGUUGACGAAGCUUCCUGCGUAAGCCAGACAAGACGGUGCGCCAAGAUAUUUUAUAUCGCCUCCCACACGAUUCUUUCUAGUAAACUGUUUGUGGUAUACCUGAUUUUUUCAUUAUGUUUUGAAAGACAAAAUGGUGUUACGGAGGGAAAGGAUGGUGUUUGAAUUGCUAGAACAUUUACGUACAGUGAAUAUGCAACUAGUACAUAAGUGUCGUGUUUAAAUUUGGAAUUAUUCCGGGUUCGUUUGGCAUUUUUAUGCAUUAAUUGAGUUUCUGGGCAUUUAAUGUGCAUAAUUCAAAUUUGAACUACAAGCACAUGCUUCAGUGCACCAUAGUUGUUUGAAAAAUCACAUGUGUGUCCUUGGGUGAAUUUUUAGGUCACAUGCAAGAGAUGGGAGUGAAAUUCAAACAUCUGGGCAUCGUGGCUCGACCGAAAAUAUUGAGAAACUUGGUUUUUUAAUUCCUGUAAUUCCAAAAAACGCCUGAAAAUCAUGAAACUUGGCAUGGUCUCAUGGCAUGGCACGAACAUGCUGCGUUAAUUUUUUUGGCCGAAUUGGGACAAGCUUUGGUGUAAGCUUCUUGCAAACCAGAGCUUCCCUCAAGAAGGCUCGUGGUUCCGAGAGGGAACGUGCCACCUUCGUGUGCGAAAUGACAUACGUACACUGCCUUCUUCCGCCUUAACUUUUUUGCACAUCCAGAUUAGACCAAAUAGAAGUACUGUGCUAAAUUUUGGAAUUAUUCCGGGCUCGUUUCGCCUUUUUUAUACAUUAAUUGAGUUUUUGGGCAUUUAAUGUGCAUAACUCAAAUUUGAACUACAAGCACAUUCUCUAGUGCACCAAAGUUGUUUGAAAAAUCACAUGUGUGUCCUUGGGUGAAUUUCUAGGUCCCAUGCAAUAGAUGUGAGUGAAAUUCAAACAUCUGGGGGUCGUGGCUCGACCGGAAAGAUUGAGAAACUUGAUUUUUUAAUUCCUGUAAUUCCAAAACACGCCUGAAAUUCAUGAAACUUGACAUGGUGUCAUGACAUGGCACCAACAUGCUGCGGUAAUAUUUUUUGCCAAAUUGGGACAAGCUUUGGUGUAAGCUUCUUGCAAACCGGAGCUUCCCUCAAGAAGGCUCGUGGUUCCGAGAGGAAACGCGUCACCUCCGUGGUGAAACGACAUACGUACACUGCCUUCUCCCGCCUUAUUUUUUUUACACAGCCAGAUUAGACCAAAUAGAAGUACCGUGCUAAAUUUUGGAAUUAUUCCGGGCUCGUUUCGCCUUUUUUAUACAUUAAUUGAGUUUCUGGGCAUUUAAUGUGCAUAAUUCAAAUUUGAACUACAAGCACAUGCUCCAGUGCACCAAAGUUGUUUGAAAAAAUCACAUGUGUGUCCUUGGGUGAAUUUCUAGGUCCCAUGCAAGAGAUGGGAGUGAAAUUCAAACAUCUGGGCGUCGUGGCUCGGCCGAAAAUAUUGAGAAACUUGAUUUUUUAAUUCUUGUAAUUCCAAAAGACGCCUGAAAAUCAUGAAAUUUGGCAUGGUGUCAUGACAUGGCACCAACAUGCUGCGGUAAUAUUCUUGGCCGAAUUGGAACAAGCUUUGGUGUAAGCUUCUUGCAAACCGGAGCUUCCCUCAAGAAGGCUCGUGGUUCCGAGAGGGAACGUGUGUCACCUCCGUGUGCAAAACGACAUACGUACAUUGCCUUCUCCCGCCUUAUUUUUUUACACAGCCAGAUUAGACCAAAUAGAAGUACCGUGCUAAAUUUUAGAAUUAUUCCGGGCUCGUUUCGCCUUUUUUAUACAUUAAUUGAAUUUUUGGGCAUUUAAUGUGCAUAAUUCAAAUAUGAACUACAAGCACAUGCUCCAGUGCACCAUAGUUGUUUGAAAAAUCACAUGUGUGUCCUUGGGUGAAUUUCUAGGUCCCAUGCAAGAGAUGGGAGUGAAAUUCAAACAUCUGGACGUCGUGGCUCGGUCGGAAAGAUUGAGAAACUUGGUUUUUUAAUUCCUGUAAUUCCAAAACACGCCUGAAAAUCAUGAAACUUGGCAUGGUGUCAUGACAUGGCACCAACAUGCUGCGGUAAUAUUCUUGGCCGAAUUGGGACAAGCUUUGGUGUAAGCUUCUUGCAAAUCGGAGCUUCCCUCAAGAAGGCUCGUGGUUCCGAGAGGGAGUGUGUCAUCUCCGUAUGCGAAACGAUAUACGUACACUGCCUUCUCCUGCCUUAUUUUUUUACACAGCCAGAUUAGACCAAAUAGAAGUACCGUGCUAAAUUUUGGAAUUAUUCCGGGUUCGUUUGGCCUUUUUUAUACAUUAAUUGAGUUUCUGGCCAAUCAAUGUGCGUAAUCCAAAUUUGAACUACAAGCACAUGCUCCAUUGCACCAUAGUUGUUUGAAAAAUCACAUAUGUGUCAUUGGGUGAAUUUCUAGGUCCCAUGCAAGAGAUGAGAGUGAAAUUCAAACAUCUGGGCGUCGUGGCUCGGCCGGAAAGAUUGAGAAACUUGGUUUUUUAAUUCCUGUAAUUACAAAACAUGCCUGAAAAUCAUGAAACUUGGCAAGGUCUCAUCGGGAGAUGCCGUGCGGGGUAGCUAUUUGAGUACGGGAGGCGUGCGAUCAGACCCCUGAGCGUGCUCAUCGGGAGGAGAGCCCUUUGACCCCUACCCGCCGCACACCUCCCUCCCAACGUCUCCAUUAAUGGCACCCGAGCACCUAUUCUACGGCGUGGCUAUAUGUCUCACUGGACUGAGAUUUAAGAGAGAAAAAUGAAAAUCUGAAAAGAAAGUUUUGCACGGAUCUUGAUGUAAGAUUCGACGGACCUAUAUAGAAUUGACUGCGACUUAUAGCAAGCAUGGUGAAUAUAAGGACGAUGACAGUGGAUAAUAAUUGUCUUACAUAUUUAGAAACAUAAUUAAAAAAAGCCACAUGCGGCAACGCCCGAAAUACACAAGGGCAAAAGAAGAAGGAAGACAACGAUCUGGCUCGCUGGUCUCUACUUUCUUGAUGCGUUGCUGCAGGCCGCGGGAACUAGUCUCCUUGGCGAGCGGCGACGAGCUCUUUCUUGUCCUCAAGAUGCUGCUUGAGAGCAUCCACGGAUUCCUCCACCAGCCUUCUGCGCUCGAUGCGCAGCUUGUUAUUCUCGUCCAUAAGUUUCUCGACGAUGACGCCGGUCCUCUUCAACAAGGCAGUGGUCUGCUCCUGCUGCUCCGCACUUCCGACAAUAUUCGCCCUCAGCGGGUCGCGCUCGGCCUGGAGCUUCGCAUUGCUCUCAUUUAGUUGCCGGAUGAUGUCGGUAGACUGUUCAAACGAGGCAUGCAGGUCAUCCUGCAACCUCACCCACCCGGAGAUCUAAUCCAUCUGCCUAUGGACGAGGGCACGCAUGCGCCUGUAAGAGUCCUCGCCUGCCCGCGAGGCAUUUUCCCAGGCCGCGGCGGCAAGGGAGGACAUCUCUACUGCAUUCGCGGCGCGGUGGGACAUCUCUUCUGCUUCCGCGGCACGGCCGGACCAGUCUGCUACAUCGACGGUGCGACGGGUCCUCCGUGUUGCUUCGGCAGUGCGGCGGGACCUCUCUGCUGCUACUGCCGUGCGGCAGGACAUGUUGGAUGCUAUCGCGGCGAGGCGGGACAUCUCUCGUGCCCCCGCUUCCAGGUUCGCCUCUCCCUAGUCGCAAUCUCUCGACCCAGAACUGACGCUGGCCAUGGCGGAUGCAAGGGAACGAUGAUGAAUGACUUGUUUGUUUUUGACUUUUUGUGGAUGAGGAGUUGAGGAGGAAUGUGCAGUCAUCUUGGAGUAGUAGUAUUUAUAACCGCGUAGUAAUACGCUCCUAAGUGGGAAACCGUUUAGGUUUUGAUCAGUGUGAACAGGUUUGCAAUUUGGAAUGUGAUGGGACGCCUGCUCAAAAUUUACUGACGGUUAUAAGUGCGGCACUAUUCCAGGAAGGCGUAACGUGGGCACGUACGCCUUCUCGGCCGCCUACGUGGCGUUUGCACCAUAGGGUGCACCGCAAUAGGCAAUGUCAGCACAUGUCUUUUAAUUAGAAUGGGUGUGCCCGUCUAGCGCACAUACGUUGAUCUAUCUAACUAUUUCAGUUUGUUGUGGCUAAUCGCAAACAGUUCAUCCAUGUGAAGUGUAUGCCAUCGAUCGCAGACACUUUGAUCUGGCUUACCCGUUUCUGUUCUACUGCCUAAUCGCAAACAGUUAAUCCUUCUGAAGCGUAUGCCCUCAAUCACACACACCUUGAUCUGGCUGACCGUUUCUUUUGUGUUGCCUAAUCACAAAUAGUUCAUCCGAGUGAACCGUAUGUUGUAUAUCGCACACACCUUCAUCUGGCUGCCCGUUUCUUUUGUGUUGCCUAAUCACAAACAGUUCAUCCGAGUGAAUCGUAUGCUCUAUAUCGCACACGCCUUCAUCAGGCUUCCCGUUUCUUUUGUUCCGCCUCAUCGCAAACAGUUCCUUGGACUGAACCUUAUGCCCUGGAUCGCACACGCAACUAAAAUCUGAACCGUGUUUGAUGCAUCCUCCAUCGCAAACGUUUUCACCUUUUUGACGGUUUUCAUACAGCACCGUUUGCGAUUAUGUUAUCGCACACAGUUUCUCGAAGGGUCUCUGAUCGUAGUGUCGCGUUAGCAGCAUCCUACAGUAGUGCGUUGUCGGUGAUGACUCUAUUUGGCACACCAAAACGGCAGACUAGCCCCUUGAAGAACUUCACGGCUGAUUGUGCUAUCACCUUUCUCACUGCUUCCACUUCCGGCCACUUCGUGAACUUGUCGAUGGCAACGUACAAGUACUCAAAGCCCCCGACAGCACGGGGAAAGGGGCCCAGUAUGUCGAGCCCCCAGACCGAGAAUGGCCAGGAAAGAUGGAUGUUUUGGAGAGCUUGAGCUGCUUGAUGAAGCUUCUUUGAAUGAAACUGACACGCUUCACACUUAGUUACUAGUGCCGUUGCAUCCUGGAGGGCAGUGGGCCAGAAGAAACCUUGCCGGAAUGCCUUGCCGUCAAGGGCUCUCGACCCUAUGUGGGAGCCACAUAUGCCUCUGUGUAUCUCUGCCAACAGCUCCAGUCCGUCCUCCCGGGGAAUGCACUUCAAUCUCAAACCGUUUGGUCUUUUUCUGUACAAAAUGUCGUCAACGAAUUGGUACAUGGCAGACCGACGGGCUACUUUCUGCGCUUCUUCCUGCUCCCCAGGGAGCUUCCCUGUUUGGAGAAAUCGAACGGUAUGUUGUGCCCAUGCCGGAGCCUGAGGCUCGACGGCAAGGACUAAAGGCAUCUCUUCUGCUGUGGGAGCGGUCGUCUCUAUGGCAAGGGCUUGAGGCCCUGCCGGAGACUGUUGCUCCUCGGCAAUCUUAGUGUCUCCGGCAACAUCCUUGCCGGCGGCUCCUGGGAGCUCGACGGGAAAGUACUUGCCGGGGCUCAACUUCCUUCGCUUAUCCUGCCUUGCCGAUGGUUCCACGGACGGCUUAGUUAGUUGGAGCACAAAGGUCCCUAGUUCCACAGGUAACUUUAAGCCAGCACGUUUUGACAGGUCCUCAGCAAUGUUGUUCUCUGCUCGAGGAACAUGCUCUGCUUGCAGACCGUCAAAACGUUCCUCCAACUUUCUCACUUGAUCUACGUAGGCCUCCAUCAACGGGCUAUGAUAAUCUUUGUUGGCUUGACGACAAGCUGUGAGUCACCUCUGACGAUGAACUUCCUUAUUCCGAGGUCCGCCGCAAUCCUGAGACCGGCAAGCAGCCCUUCGUACUCAGCGGUGUUGUUCGUUGACCUCUCCCUGGGAAAGUGCAUCUGGACUACAUACUUGAGGUGCUCUCCGGUGGGUGCAACAAGCAGCACACCAGCACCGGCGCCUUGCAGCGAGAAAGCCCAUCAAAGUACAUAAUCCAGUCGCGACUUGUUUCCUUGCCGAGGAGAGUAGUCUCUUGAACCUCUUCGUCGGGUGUCGAGGUCCAUUCCGCAAUGAACUCCGCCAAGACUCUACUCCGAAUUGUUGUAGUACUCUCAAACUUCGUACCAAAGCUCGACAGUUCCAAUGCCCAUUCCACAAUCCUCCCGGUUGCAUCUUAGUUGGGUAAGAUCCUUUGCAACGGGAGGCGGGUGACGACGGUGAUCUCAUGUGCUUGAAAAUAAUGACGCAACUUCCUCGAGGCCAUAAGGAGGCCGAAGAGCAAUUUCUGCACACCGGAGUACCUUGAUCUAGCCCCCUGCAGGAGGGAACUAACAAAGUAAUCUGGGUGCUGCAUCAUCUUCUUCUUCUGUACCACUUCAUUUGCUUGUGCCGUUUUCGCCCCGCCGGCAUCAGACUCUGCCGGGGGUCCUGUCGGUGUCAAAACCGGCGGAUCUCGGGUAGGGGGUCCCGAACUGUGCGUCUAAGGCGGAUGGUAACAGGAGGCGGGGGACACGAUGUUUACCCAGGUUCGGGCCCUCUCGAUGGAGGUAAUACCCUACUUCCUGCUUGAUUGAUCUUGAUGAUAUGAGUAUUACAAGAGUUGAUCUACCACGAGAUCGUAGAGGCUAAACCCUAGAAGCUAGCCUAUGGUAUGAUUGUUGUUGUCCUACGGACUAAACCCUCCAGUUUAUAUAGACACUGGAGGGGGCUAGGGUUACACAGAGUCGGUUACAAGGGAGGAGAUCUACAUAUCCGUAUUGCCAAGCUUGCCUUCCACGGCAAGGAGAGUCCUAUCCAGACACGGGACGAAGUCUUCAAUCUUGUAUCUUCAUAGUCCAACAGUCCGGCUAAAGUAUAUAGUCCGGCCGUUCGAGGACCCCCUAAUCCAGGACUCCCUCAGUAGCCCCUGAACCAGGCUUCAAUGACGAUGAGUCCGGCGCACAGAUUUGUCUUCGGCAUUGCAAGGCGGGUUCUUCCUCCGAAUACUCCAUAGAAGAUCUUGAACACAAGGACAGUGUCCGGCUCUGCAAAACAAAUUCCACAUACCACCGUAGAGAGAAUGAUAUUUCCACAAAUCUAAUCUGCUGACACAUUCGGCAGCAUGACAUCAUACCACGGCCCGGUCAUUAUUCGAACCGUUUUUCUCAACCAGCUAUUGCACAUAUUGCGAGGAGGUUUUCUUGGCACGUCUUGUUGAAGCAGAGAUCGUGUCCCCUUAUCACGGGAUUCUCAUCAAUACGGAUGUGGGUAACCCAACCGCGCCAUCAAUUACGACGCUUGGGGAAUAAGCGAGUUUUAGUAGGCAGGUGGGGAGGCGUAUAGUUUCUUCCGCCCUUAUAAAGGGACAAGGAUUCCUCUUUUUACCCACGCCUUCUUCCUCCUUGCUCACCCAUUCGUGCGCACUCGAGCUCCAGCACGCAGGUUCACGUUUUUCUCCUCAAACCACUCCAAGCAUGUCCGGAGCAGGAGGCAAGUGGAUGGUCUCCUCCGUCACGGAGGAGAACAUCACAAAGCUACGGGGAGCUGGAUAUCUGGCCGCGGACAUCGCACACUGGCUGCCAGAUGCGGGGCAGAUCAUCCCUACUCCAGAACCCCAUGAGAGGAUGGUUUUUCUUACCCACUUCGUCCGUGGACUGGGAUUUCCCCUCCACCCGUUUGUCCGCAGGCUCAUGUUCUAUUAUGGGAUGGAUUUUCACGACCUGGCCCCCAAUUUCAUCCUCAACAUCUCGGCGUUUAUCGUCGUGUGCGAGGCCUUCCUCCACAUCAAGCCCCACUUCGGCCUGUGGCUGAAGACCUUCAAUGUUAAGCCGAAGGUGGUGGUCGGCCAGCAAGCAAAGUGCGGAGGCGCCAUGGUGGGCAAAAUGCCUAACGUCACCUGGCUCAAAGGCUCCUAUGUGGAGACCAUAAAGGGGUGGCAAUCGGGGUGGUUCUACAUCACCGAGCCGCACGACACCAACUGGGUGGCGGCCCCCGAAUUCCGAUCCGGAAUCCCCACGCGGCUCACCUCCUGGAAAGAGAAGGGCCUGUCCUGGGGUUCCUCGGUAGAGCUGACCGGACUCCAGACAUGCAUCAAAAACAUGAUGAGCAAGAAAAUCAAGCUUGUCAACGUGGUCCAGGUCAUACUCUUCCACCGGAUCCUCCCGUGUCAAUGACGGGCAUUCAAUUUGUGGGAGUUCGACCCGGCCGAGCACCAGACGCUGUGAGAGCUCUUCGACACGACGCACAAGGACGUCUGGAAGGUGCUGUUCAAGGGCGCCGAGGUACCUCCUCCCCUUACCGAGGACCGCGGACUCAGCGCAAAGCGCCCUGCCAAUCCGGUAAGUUUUUUUAUAUCUCAUAAGAUGUUUAUUUUCCCCAGUUUAACCAUGUGCGGGAUCUAAGCCUCCACGCUAUUUAACAGGACUGGGUAGAGACAUCGGAGCAGAUUGAUUGCCCAGCCCCCCUUCCUGAAGAUCCAGCAGAUGCUCUCCUAACGGAGAUGCUGGUUCCGGCGCCUUACAAGGUGCCGGUGAAGAAGGCCAAGAAGAAGGCCACGGGGACCCGGAAGGGUCUCCGGCGCAAGGUUAUAUCGGACUCAUCGUUCGAAAACAUCGAGGCGUACUCCUCCCACGAAAACGAGGAGGAGGAAGAGGAAAGUUCUCCCCCCCAGCCGGUGGAGACAAGAAAAGGAAGGCCGCCCCAUCCGGGGAGGCCAAAGGGUCCAAGAAGGGAAGGACCCUCCUCCUGGACUGCUCCACGACGGCCGCCUAUAGCGACGACGAGUGGUUGCCCAGGGACAAGCCCCUGGCGAAGUCGUAAGUAUCCGGAUACCAUAGUAAUUCAUGGUAUGUUUUAUUGUACUGCCUCUCAUCACGCUGAACAUGAUUAUGCAGUCCGUCCUGAGCCCGCAUCGACGUAUCUUUGUCGGAUGAUUCUUUGGGCCUAUCGGACCUGAGCAGUGAUUCUCUCCCUACCGCCUUCUCCCCCCGCCCUACGGACAACGCCGAGGUGUUGUCCCAAAGGGAACUGAACCAGGGGGGACAGUUCCGGAGGCGCCUCAAGGCGACAUUCCGGGCGCUGGGCGCACGAGGGGCAAGACUCCCCCGGGCCCUAACGCCGGGGGCAGCAAGUCUAGCCCCAAUCCGAAUACGGUGCCGGAACCUCCAGUGGUUCCUGAUUCUGUCAGGCAACCCCUCGCUAAGAGGGGCAAGCUGUCUGUGUCGGUGGCCUCUGUCCAUCUAGAGGCACCGGACAACUUGCUGGAAGCGCUUCACGGCGCUUCCAUCGACGAAGAGCACCGCACUAUCAUGAGUGCGGUGAUCGAGAAGGUUCAGUCCGCCAAAAGCGGGCUAACUGAAGCCUGUGCCAGCCUCCUAACAGGCUUUCAGGAAAGUAAUCAAAUUAUAAGAAAAUAUUACCGCAUAGACAGUAGCCCCUGAUGCUCUGUUUGGCGUUCGCGAAGAAAGGCCGAAUAGAGGAUCAAAUAAUGACCGCAGGAGUCUAAUCAGAAUAUGUCUAUGUGCAUAUGCAGGCUUCAUUGCUGGCCGCUGCCGCACGCACUGCGGAGGUCGCUGCACUGAAGCAGGACCUUGAGUGGUCCAAGGAAGAGCUCGGCCUUACCAAGAGGCAGCUCGAAGAGAACAAAGGUAAGCGAUACCCCGUCUGUAUAUUAAAAAGAAAUUUGGUUGUAAAAUAAUAGGAUCGCCAUGAAUGUUGCUAGGGGCCACUGUCGAAGUGGCGACCCUUCAGAAGGCGCUAUCCGAGGCCGAAGACAAAGCGGCCAAGGACCGCAUCAAGCGAGAAAAGCAAGAAGCCCGGGUGGGCGAGGUGCAGCAAGAGCUCCAGGCUCUCACCAAAAAACAUGAGUCCUUGGAGCUUGACUCUAAGACGCGAGAGUCCGAGCUUGCGAAGGCCCUCGAAAGCGCACAAAAUGCCAAGGCCGAAGCCCAGAAGGCCCUCUACGAAAUUGAGGCGGUUAAGAAGAUAGCAGCGGGUAAGGCAUUCAUUAUGCAAAGCAAGCAUGUGAAGGAAACUUUCCUUUUACUUACCCGAGUUCGGAGCUCUCCAGGAGCGUUCGCAGAUCUUCCCCGCAGUGUGUUGGAUGCCGUGGAGUUCUACCGGGCUGAGGAGGGGAGCUCGACGGAGAAGUUGUUCUGGUCUCAGUAUACUGGGGCCGAACACCCAAUGCCCUUGAGCGACCAGAUGAAGCAACUGGUCGAGCUCCACAAGGCGGCCGAACAGGCCAUGAAGGGUCUUAUAGCCCGGAUGUGGCCUGGCGAGCCCCUGCCUGAUAGCUACUUCGGUCUCAUGAGGCAGCUUGUGAACGCCUGCCCACGGCUUGAAGUCAUAAAGCGGUCCGUCUGCAUCGAGGGUGCGCGUAGGGCUUUUGCCCGGGCGAAGGUGCACUGGGCGAAGCUGGACGCCGUAAAGCUGGUGAAGGAGGGGCUGCCGGAAGGCAAGGAGCAUCAACACCCCGAAAUGUAUUAUGACAGUGUCCUGAAGGGUUCCCGCCUUGUGGCGGAGGAAUGUGCUAAGGAUGUAAUAUUCGAAUGAAUGUACUCAUGUGAUCCUGUAAUGUGAAACGAGUUCAUUUGUGCUGUGCAACGCUUGUUAAUUUAAAAUAUUACCUUCUGUGCGGUCGUUUAUGAAAUCUGAGGGUUGGCCAGUCGUCGGUUUCUGCCCCCAUGUAACUAGUACUGGGGUGUUCGGGGUAAACCUGAACACUCUUUAUCCCAAUUUUCGGUCCUUCGAAGGAGGUGUUCAGCACAUCGAACCAGGCAAUCGGACUAUAAAGCUUUAUCACCCUCACUUAGCCAUAGAAGUCUACAAUUUUAAAUUUUGGCGAAGCCCCUAGUAUUCGGAAGGCCGAAUUUGGGGCGCUAUAUACGCCUAAGUCGGGCAAGGCCGACUCCUCGCCCGAAGCGGAAAAAGUUUUUAAGGACUUGAGACCUCGUGAACAGCGACCAGCUCUCGCCUCAUCGUGACAGUCAGUUUUCGGCUUUCUCUACUGAGGUGCUCGUCCGGAAGAACCGGGACACAAUCGCAGUAGUUCUCCCAGCGCUACCUUAGCCGAUUUUGCGGAACAUAAGGUACCAAAACAUGGGAGCCGGGCAAACCCAACUAUCGACCCAAGACAUGAUUCGGAGCUGAUGCAUAUAAUGCUAUAAGUUCGGGGUGCCGCACUGUCGAAAGUGUUCGGACUUCUCACGCCGUAUUAUGGGGUAUGCUGAAGCCCCUGGCGUACUAGUCGUACUAGAAUGUACGGGUGCAAUCUGUCGUAAUUAAGCAGACAAGAGAAAGAAAAAAAAGAAAGGGUAAUGCAAUAAUAGGCUAACGCUACGCAUUGUUAUUAAAUAGUACGUCAAAGCGUACGGAUACAAGUAGUGCAAUAAGAAAAAAAAAGACUAUUUGACAUGUCCUAUCCAAGGGCAAGCUGCGUAUGGGUAUUUAAAACAGGUAUUUCGAUCGUUAGCAGAGACCACCUGGGGAUUCCCUUGUACGUCAGAGCUUCUUGCUUCCUUGGUAUUUUCUUCUCGUAGUGCAUCCAGCAAUCAGACUACCGAAAAGGGGUUCCAGAGAGUAAGGUCCUGAAAGAGAAAAUGAUGAAGGUAUACGGCUCCUGGGGCGGUUGAGCCGCAUUGUGGGACGUGCCGUAGUGGUGCCUCCGCCGAUGCCCAUGGUAUCUUGAGUGCGUAGUUAUGUACGCGUGGCACGAAUCUCGCCACUUGACUGGGACUAGGACGGAGGCCGAAUUGCUAGUCGAGCUCAAAAUGUGCCUGUCGAUCCGCCUGCGGGGUACUCCGGACUCGCUUGAAGGUGUCCGGGGUCUUUUUCGCCGAAUUGGCGGUUUGCCUAAUAAGGCAGCUUUGCACUUCUGCUGCGAGGGCCGCAGUGUGCUCCUCCGUGCGGAGCGAGCGCUCUGUGUUUCCAUUGACUGUUAUUACCCCACGAGGUCCUGGCAUUUUGAGCUUGAGGUAUGUAUAAUGCGGUACCGCAUUGAAUCUUGCAAAUGCGGUUCGCCCGAGCAGUGCGUGAUAGCCACUACGGAACGGGACGAUAUCGAAGAUUAACUCCUCGCUUCGGAAGUUGUCCGGAGAUCCGAAGACCACAUCCAGUGUGAUUGAGCCCGUGCAAUGGGCCUCUACACCUGGGAUGACGCCUUUAAAGGUGGUUUUAGUGGGUUUGAUCCUCGAGGGGUCUAUACCCAUUUUACGCACUGUAUCCUGAUAGAGCAGGUUCAGGCUGCCGCCGCCGUCCAUAAGGACUCGAGUGAGGUGAAAUCCGUCAAUGAUGGGGUCGAGGACCAAUGCGGCAGAUCCGCCAUGACGGAUACUAGUGGGGUGGUCCCUCGAUCGAAGGUGAUCGGACAAGAGGACCAUGGGUUGAACUUUGGGGCGACAGGCUCCAUCGCAUAGACGUCCCUUAGUGCAUGCUUCCGUUCCCUCUUGGGAAUGUGGGUCGCGUAUAUCAUGUUCACCGUUUUCACUUGUGGGGGGAACCUCUUCUGUCCUCCCGUGUUCGGCGGCCGGGGCUCCUCCUCGUCGUCGCUAUGCAGCCCCUUGUCCUUGUUUUCGGCAUUCAACUUGCCGGCCUGCUUGAACACCCAGCAUUCUCUGUUGGUGUGAUUGGCUGGCUUAUCGGGGGUGCCGUGAAUUUGACAUGAUCGAUCGAGUAUGCGGUCCAAACUGGACGGGCCCGGAGUACCUCUUUUGAAUGGCUUUUUCCGCUGACCGGAUUUAGAGCCACUGAAUCCGGCAUUGACUGCCGUAUCUUCGGCGUUAUCGCCAUUGUUGCGGCGCUUAUGUCUGUUACGACGUGGUCUGUCGUUAGUAUCUUUGGUAGCUGAAGUGCCCGGAUUCCUUGAUGUGUUGUUGCUGCGAGCCAGCCAGCUAUCCUCGCCCGCGCAAAAGCGGGUCAUGAGUGUCGUGAGGGCUGCCAUAGACUUCGGCUUCUCCUGGCCGAGGUGUUGGGCGAGCCACUCGUCACGGAUGUUAUGCUUGAAUGCCGCUAAGGCCUCUGCAUCCGGACAGUCGACAAUUUGGUUUUUCUUAGUUAGGAACCUGGUCCAGAAUUUCCUGGCCGAUUCCCCUGGCUGCUGAAUUAUAUGGCUCAAGUCAUCAGCAGCUGGUGGCCGCACAUAAGUACCCUGGAAGUUGUGAAGGAAUGCAUCUUCCAAAUCCUCCCAACUGCCAAAAUGGAGUCUGCUGGCAAGCUAUUCGGCCAAUGCCGAGCUGGUCCUUUGAGUUUUAGUGGGAGGUACUUGAUGGCAUGUAGAUCAUUACCGCGAGCCAUGUGGAUGUGGAGGAGGAAGUCCUCGAUCCAUACCACGGGGUCUGUUGUACCAUCAUAUGAUUCAAUAUUUACGGGUUUAAAACCCUCUGGGAAUUCGUGAUCCAUUAUUUCAUCAGUGAAGCAUAGGGGGUGUGCGGCGCUGAUACGUCUCCAACGUAUCUAUAAUUUUUGAUUGCUCCAUGCUAUAUUAUAGGGGGUGUGAAGCAUAGGAAGUGUGAGUAGUUUACCUCAGACCUUCGGGUCCAUAGUUAGUAGCUAGAUGGCUUCUUCUCUCUUUUUGGAUCUCAAUACAAUGUUCUCCCCCUCUCUCAUGGAGAUCUAUUCGAUGUAAUCUUCUUUUUGCGGUGUGUUUGUUGAGACCGAUGAAUUGUGGGUUUAUGAUCAAGAUUAUCUAUGAACAAUAUUUGAAUCUUCUCUGAAUUCUUUUAUGUAUGAUUGGUUAUCUUUGCAAGUCUCUUCGAAUUAUAAGUUUGGUUUGGCCUACCAGAUUGAUCUUUCUUGCAAUGGGAGAAGUGCUUAGCUUUGGGUUCAAUCUUGCGGUGUCCUUUCCCAGUGACAGUAGGGGCAGCAAGGCACGUAUUGUAUUGUUGCCAUCGAGGAUAACAAGAUGGGUUUUUUAUCAUAUUGCAUGAAUUUAUCCCUCUACAUCAUGUCAUCUUGCUUAAGGCAUUACUCUGUUUCCAUGAACUUAAUACUCUAGAUGCAUGCUGGAUAGCGGUCGAUGAGUGGAGUAAUAGUAGUAGAUGCAGGCAGGUGUCGGUCUACUUGUCUCGGACGUGAUGCCUAUAUACAUGAUCAUACCUAAAUAUUCUCAUAACUAUGCUCAAUUCUGUCAAUUGCUCAACAGUAAUUCGUUCACCCACCGUAAAAUACUUAUGCUCUUGAGAGAAGCCACUAGUGAAACCUAUGGCCCCCGGGUCUAUCUUCAUCAUAUUAAUCUUCCAACACUUAGUUAUUUCCUUUGCUUUUAUUUUACUUUGCAUCUUUAUCACAAAAAUACCAAAAAUAUUAUCCUAUCAUAUCUAUCAGAUCUCACUCUCGUAAGUGACCGUGAAGGGAUUGACAACCCCUUAUCGCGUUGGUUGCGAGGAUUUAUUUGUUUUGUGUAGGUGCGAGGGACUCGGGCGUAGCCUCCUACUGGAUUGAUACCUUGGUUCUAAAAAACUGAGGGAAAUACUUAUGCUAGUUUGCUGCAUCACCCUUUCCUCUUCAAGGGAAAACCAACGCAGUGCUCAAGAGGUAGCAAGAAGGAUUUCUGGCGCCGUUGCCGGGGAGGUCUACGCAAAAGUCAACAUACCAAGUACCCAUCACAAAUCCCUUAUCUCCCGCAUUACAUUAUUUGCCAUUUGCCUCUCGUUUUCCUCUCCCGCACUUCACCCUUGCCGUUUUAUUCGCCCUCUCUUUUUCAUUCACCUCUUUUUCGCUUGCUUGUCGUUAUGGCUAGUCCUCUAUCUUCUCCGUUGUCUCCCGAGGAUGAAGUUCUAAAUUUUAAACAAAGGGAGGGAGAAAAUCUAAAAGAUUCUUGGUAUAGAAUUUGCAAUGCUCAAAAUAGAUAUGCCAGGAAGCAAUCUACUUCCGUUCUUCUCCGCAAUUUUUAUGUAGGCGCUAAUCCUUGGUAUAGAUAUAUUCUUGAUACCAUUACCGGAGGGAAUUUCUUGGGUAGCCAUACUUUUGACUCUUAUAAUGCUAUGAUAGAUUUAUUUGGCUCACCACCUCUUUUGGUUAAUGGAACUAUGUUAACUUUGGAGCAUGUAAUGCAAAGACUUGAAAUUAUUGAAAAUAAAGUUGCUACCGUAGAGUUAAUUGAAAAUCUGGAUAAAAAGAUCCACAACCAAAUUACCCAAUAUGGAUCUAAGGUAGGAUUCACUUUGAAAAAUAUUAAGGAGAAGGAACCCAUAGUUAAUGAGAGAAUAAAUCAAGAUUCCACUAGAAUCGAUAAACUUGAGGGUAUCAUUACCAACUUGGGAACCAAUUUUUCUUCUGUAAAGAAUACUCCAAAUCCUCCUACUAAAAUUCCCAAGCUUAUGUAUGUUCCUAAAAAUAAGGGUGAAUCCUCUAGUAAGGAAACUGCGGAUCUCAAAUCUAUAAGUAUUCAUCCCAAUCUUUUUGCCUUCAUUAAGGAACCAUUUGCUACGAAUGAAGUUUUCGAUCUUGUGCCUAAAAGUUUGAUAAUUACUAAAAAUAAAGAAAUUCCUAAGGAUGAUAGAUGUCUCAUUGAAGAAUUGCCUACCAAAGAUGGCAAUACCUAGAUCUAUCCUUGCUUUUAUGCCUAACUAGGGGCGUUAAACGAUAGCGCUUGUUGGGAGGCAACCCAAUUUUAUUUUUAGUUUUUUGCUUUUUGCUUCUGUUUAGGAAUAAAUAUUUGAUCUAGCCUCUGGUUAGAUGUGUUUUUAUGUUUCAAUUAGUGUUUGUGCCAAGUUAAACCUAUAGGAUCUUCUUGGAUGAUAGUUAUUUGAUCUUGCUGUAAUUUCCAGAAACUUUCUGUUCACAAAAAUAAUUGUUAAAAAUCACCAGAACGUGAUAAAAUAGUGAUUCCAAUUGCUGCUGAUCAAUAAACAAAUUGCCUAGGUCUUCCUAUUUUUGCUGAUUUUUUGGAGUUCCAGAAGUUUGCGUUAGUUACAGAUUACUACAGACUGUUCUGUUUUUGACAGAUUCUGUUUUUCGUGUGUUCUUUGCUUAUUUUGGUGAAUCUAUGGCUAGUAAAAUAGUUUAUAAACCAUAGAGAAGUUGGAAUACAGUAGGUUUAACACCAAUAUAAAUAAAGAAUGGGUUCAUUACAGUACCUUGAAGUGGUCUUUUGUUUUCUUUCGCUAACGGAGCUCACGAGAUUUCUGUUAAGUUUUGUGUUGUGAAGUUUUCAAGUUUUGUGUUGUGAAGUUUUCAAGUUUUGGGUGAAAGAUUUUUGAUGGAUUAUGGAACAAGGAGUGGCUAGAGCCUAAGCUUGGGGAUGCCCAUGGCACCCCCAAGAUAAUCUAAGGACACCAUAAAGCCAAAGCUUGGGGAUGCCCCGGAAGGCAUCCCCUCUUUCGUCUACUUCCAUCGGUAACUUUACUUGGAGCUAUAUUUUUAUUCACCACAUGAUAUGUGUUUUGCUUGGAGCGUCUUGUAUGAUUUGAGUCUUUGCUUUUUAUUUUACCACAAUCAUCCUUGCUGUACACACCUUUUGAGAGAGCCAAACAUGAUUUGGAAUUUUGUUAGAAUACUCUAUGUGAUUCGCUUAUAUCUUUUGAGUUAUAUAGUUUUGCUCUAGUACUUCACUUAUAUCUUUUAGAGCACGGUGGUGGAUUUGUUUUAUAGAAACUAUUGAUCUCUCAUGCUUCACUUAGAUUAUUUUGAGAGUCUUAUAUAGCAUGGUAAUUUGCUUAAAUAAUCCUAAUAUGCUUGGUAUUCAAGAUUAGUAAAAACUUUCUUAUGAGUGUGUUGAAUGCUAAGAAAAGUUUGAUGCUUGAUAAUUGUUUUGAGAUAUAAAGAUGGUGAUAUUAGAGUCAUGCUAGUUGAGUAGUUGUGAAUUUGAGAAAUACUUGUGUUAAAGUUUGUGAUUCCCGUAGCAUGCACGUAUGGUGAACCAUUAUGUGAUGAAGUCGGAGCAUGAUUUAUUUAUUGAUUGUCUUCCUUAUGAGUGGCGGUCGGGGACGAGCGAUGGUCUUUUCCUACCAAUCUAUCCCCCUAGGAGCAUGCGCGUAAUACUUUGCUUUGAUAACUUGUACAUUUUUGCAAUAAGUAUAUGAGUUCUUUAUGACUAAUGUUGAGUCCAUGGAUUAUACGCACUUUCUUCCUUCCACCAUUGCUAGCCUCUCUAAUACCACGCUCUUUUCGCCGGUAUCAUACACCCACCAUAUACCUUCCUCAAAACAGCCACCAUACCUACCUAUCAUGGCAUUUCCAUAGCCAUUCCGAGAUAUAUUGCCAUGCAACUUUCCACCGUUCCGUUUAUUAUGACACGCUCCAUCAUUGUCAUAUUGCUUUGCAUGAUCAUGGAGUUGACAUCGUAUUUGUGGCAAAGCCACCGUUCAUAAUUCUUUCAUACAUGUCACUCUUGAUUCAUUGCAUAUCCCGGUACACCGCCGGAGGCAUUCAUAUAGAGUCAUAUUUUGUUCUAAGUAUCGAGUUGUAAUUGUUGAGUUGUAAGAAAAUAAAAGUGUGAUGAUCUUCAUUUUUAGAGCAUUGUCCCAAGUGAGGAAAAGGAUGAUGGAGACUAUGAUUCCCCCACAAGUCAGGAUGAGACUCCGGACGAAAAAAAGAGGCCAUAAAAACAAAGAGAAAAGGCCCAAAUAAAAAAAUGAGAGAAAAAGAUAGAAGGGACAAGGUUACUAUCCUCUUACCACACUUGUGCUUCAAACUAGCACCAUGAUCUUCAUGAUAGAGAGUCUCUCAUUUUGUCACUUUCAUAUACUAGUGGGAAUUUUUCAUUAAUAGUGUUGGAAAUAUGCCCUAGAGGCAAUAAUAAAAUGGUUAUUAUUAUAUUUAUUUGUUCAUGAUAAUUGUCUAUUGUUCAUGCUAUAAUUGUGUUAUCCGGAAAUCGUAAUACAUGUGUGAAUACAUAGACCACAACGUGUCCCUAGUAAGCCUCUAGUUGACUAGCUCGUUGAUCAACAGAUAGUCAUGGUUUCCUGACUAUGGACAUGCUUUACAGCUUAGAACCGGGGCUCCAAAAGCGUUUUGAGAAACAUGGAGCAUAUGAGAUGUUCGAAGAGCUGAAAAUGGUUUUCCAAGCUCAUGCCCGGGUCGAGAGAUAUGAAGUCUCCGACAAGUUCUUCAGCUGUAAAAUGGAGGAGAAUAGUUCUGUCAGUGAGCACAUACUCAGAAUGUCUGGGUUACACAACCGCUUGUCUCUGCUGGGAGUUAAUCUCCCGGAUGACGCGGUCAUUGACAGAAUCCUUCAGUCGCUUCCACCAAGCUACAAGAGCUUUGUGAUGAACUUCAAUAUGCAGGGGAUGGAGAAGACCAUUCCUGAGGUAUAUUCAAUGCUGAAAUCAGCGGAGGUGGAGAUCAAAAAGGAACAUCAAGUGUUGAUGGUGAAUAAAACCACUAAGUUCAAGAAAGGCAAGGGUAAGAAGAACUUCAAGAAGGACGGCAAGGGAGUUGCCGCGCCCGGUAAGCCAGUUGCCGGGAAUAAGUCAAAGAUUGGACCCAAGCCUGAGACUGAGUGCUUUUAUUGCAAGGGAAGUGGUCACUGGAAGCGGAACUGCCCCAAAUACUUAGCGGACAAGAAGGCCGGCAAUACCAAAGGUAUAUGUGAUAUACAUGUAAUUGAUGUGUACCUUACCAGUACUCGUAGUAGCUCCUGGGUAUUUGAUACCGGUGCGGUUGCUCAUAUUUGUAACUCAAAACAGGAACUGCGGAAUAAGCGGAGACUGGCAAAGGACGAGGUGACGAUGCGCCUCGGGAAUGUAUCCAAGGUCGAUGUGAUCGCCGUCGGCACGCUGCCUCUACAUUUACCUACGGGAUUAGUUUUAAACCUCAAUAAUUGUUAUUUAGUGCCAGCUUUGAGCAUGAACAUUGUAUAUGGAUCUCGUUUAAUUCAAGAUGGCUACUCAUUUAAAUCCGAGAAUAAUGGUUGUUCUAUUUAUAUGAGAGAUAUGUUUUAUGGUCAUGCCCCGCUGGUCAAUGGUUUAUUCUUGAUGAAUCUCGAACGUGAUGUUACACAUAUUCAUAGUGUGAAUACCAAAAGAUGUAAAGUUGAUAACGAUAGUCCCACAUACUUGUGGCACUGCCGCCUUGGUCACAUUGGUGUCAAACGCAUGAAGAAGCUCCAUGCAGAUGGACUUUUGGAGUCUCUUGAUUACGAAUCAUUUGACACGUGCGAACCAUGCCUCAUGGGUAAGAUGACCAAGACUCCGUUCUCCGGAACAAUGGAGCGAGCAACCAACUUAUUGGAAAUCAUACAUACCGAUGUGUGCGGUCCAAUGAGUGUUGAGGCUCGCGGAGGAUAUCGUUAUGUUCUCACUCUCACUGAUGACUUAAGUAGAUAUGGGUAUGUCUACCUAAUGAAACACAAGUCUGAAACCUUUGAAAAGUUCAAGGAAUUUCAGAGUGAGGUAGAGAAUCAACGUGACGGGAAAAUAAAGUUCUUACGAUCAGAUCAUGGUGGAGAAUAUUUAAGUCACGAAUUUGGCGCACACUUAAGGAAAUGUGGAAUCGUUUCACAACUCACGCCGCCUGGAACACCUCAGCGAAAUGGUGUAUCCGAACGUCGUAAUCGCACUCUAUUGGAUAUGGUGCGAUCUAUGAUGUCUCUUACCGAUCUACCGCUCUCAUUUUGGGGCUAUGCUUUAGAGACUGCCGCACUCACUUUAAAUAGGGCUCCGUCGAAAUCCGUUGAGACGACACCGUAUGAAUUAUGGUUUGGGAAGAAACCUAAGCUGUCGUUUCUAAAAGUUUGGGGAUGCGAUGCUUAUGUCAAGAAACUUCAACCUGAAAAGCUCGAACCCAAGUCGGAAAAAUGCAUCUUCAUAGGAUACCCUAAGGAAACCAUUGGGUAUACCUUCUACCUCAGAUCCGAAGGCAAGAUCUUUGUUGCCAAGAACGGGUCCUUUCUGGAGAAAGAGUUUCUCUUGAAAGAAUUGAGUGGGAGGAAAGUGGAACUUAAUGAGGUGAUAGUCACCCCUUCCGAACCGGAAAGUAGCGCAGCGCGGGAAGAUAUUCCUGUGGUGCCUGCACCGACUAGGGAGGAAGUUAAUGAUGAUGAUCAUGAAGCUUCGGAUCAAGUUACUGCUGAAUUUCGUAGGUCCACAUGGACACGUUCCGCACCAGAGUGGUACGGCAACCCUGUCCUGGAAAUCAUGUUGUUAGACAACGGUGAACCUUCGAACUAUGAAGAAGCGAUGGCGGGCCCGGAUUCCGACAAAUGGCUAGAAGCCAUGAAAUCCGAGAUAGGAUCCAUGUAUGAAAACGAAGUAUGGACUUUGACUGACUUGCCCGAUGAUCGGCGAGCCAUACAAAAUAAAUGGAUCUUUAAGAAGAAGACAGACGUGGAUGGUAAUGUGACCAUCUACAAGGCUCGACUUGUCCCUAAGGGUUAUCGACAAGUUCAAGGGGUUGACUACGAUGAGACUUUCUCACCCGUAGCGAAGCUGAAGUCCGUCCGAAUCAUGUUAGCAAUUGCCGCAUUCUAUGAUUAUGAGAUAUGGCAAAUGGACGUCAAAACGGCAUUCCUUAACGGCUUUCUUAAGGAAGAAUUGUAUAUGAUGCAGCCGGAUGGUUUUGUCGAUCCUAAGAAUGCUAACAAGGUAUGCAAGCUCCAGCGCUCCAUCUAUGGGCUGGUGCAAGAAUCUCGGAGUUGGAACAUUCGUUUUGAUGAGAUGAUCAAAGCGUUUGGGUUUACACAGACUUAUGGAGAAGCCUGUGUUUACAAGAAAGUGAGUGGGAGCUCUGUAGAAUUUCUCAUAUUAUAUGUGGAUGACAUACUAUUGAUGGGAAAUGAUAUAGAAUUCUUGGAAAGUAUAAAGGCCUAUUUGAAUAAGUGUUUUUCAAUGAAGGACCUUGGAAAGCUGCUUAUAUAUUAGGCAUCAAGAUCUAUAGAGAUAGAUCAAGACGCCUCAUUGGUCUUUCACAGAGUACGUACCUUGACAAGAUAUUGAAGAAGUUCAAUAUGGAUCAGUCCAAGAAGGGGUUCUUGCCUGUAUUGCAAGGUGUGCAAUUGAGCACGGCUCAAUGCCCGACCACGGCAGAAGAUAGAGAAAAGAUGAGUGUCAUCCCCUAUGCCUCGGCCAUAGGGUCUAUUAUGUAUGCCAUGCUGUGUACCAGACCUGAUGUAAACCUUGCCGUAAGUUUGGUAGGUAGGUACCAAAGUAAUCCCGGCAUGGAACACUGGACAGCGGUCAAGAACAUCCUGAAGUACCUGAAAAGGACUAAGGAUAUGUUUCUCGUAUAUGGAGGUGACGAAGAGCUCGUCGUAAAGGGUUACGUCGACGCUAGCUUCGACACAGAUCUGGAUGACUCUAAGUCACAAACCGGAUACGUGUAUAUUUUGAAUGGAGGGGCAGUAAGCUGGUGCAGUUUCAAGCAAAGCGUCAUGGCGGGAUCUACUUGUGAAGCGGAGUACAUGGCGGCCUCAGAGGCAGCACAGGAAGCAGUCUGGAUAAAUGAGUUCAUUACCGACCUAGGGGUGAUUCCCAAUGCGUCGGGCCCGAUGACUCUCUUCUGUGACAACACUGGAGCUAUUGCCCUUGCCAAGGAGCCCAGGUUUCACAGGAAGACCAGGCAUAUCAAGCGUCGCUUCAACUCCAUUCGUGAAAGUGUUCAAAAUGGAGACAUAGAUAUUUGUAAAGUACAUACGGACCUGAAUGUAGCAGAUCCGUUGACUAAACCUCUCCCUAGAGCAAAACAUGAUCAACACCAGAACUCUAUGGGUGUUCGAUUCAUCACAAUGUAACUAGAUUAUUGACUCUAGUGCAAGUGGGAGACUGUUGGAAAUAUGCCCUAGAGGCGAUAAUAAAAUGGUUAUUAUUAUAUUUCUUUGUUCAUGAUAAUUGUCUAUUGUUCAUGCUAUAAUUGUGUUAUCCGGAAAUCGUAAUACAUGUGUGAAUACAUAGACCACAACGUGUCCCUAGUAAGCCUCUAGUUGACUAGCUCGUUGAUCAACAGAUAGUCAUGGUUUCCUGACUAUGGACAUUGGAUGUCAUUGAUAACGGGAUCACAUCAUUAGGAGAAUGAUGUGAUGGACAAGACCCAAUCCUAAGCAUAGCACAAAGAUCGUGUAGUUCGUUUGCUAGAGCUUUUCCAAUGUCAAGUAUCAUUUCCUUAGACCAUGAGAUCGUGCAACUCCCGGAUGCCGUAGGAGUGCUUUGGGUGUACCAAACAUCACAACGUAACCGGGUGACUAUAAAGGUGCACUACGGGUAUCUCCGAAAGUGUCUGUUGGGUUGGCACGGAUCGAGACUGGGAUUUGUCACUCCGUAUGACGGAGAGGUAUCUCUGGGCCCGCUCGGUAAUGCAUCAUCAUAAUGAGCUCAAUGUGACUAAGGAGUUAGCCACGGGAUCAUGCAUUACGGUACGAGUAAAGUGACUUGCCGGUAACGAGAUUGAACAAGGUAUUGGGAUACCGACGAUCGAAUCUCGGGCAAGUAACGUACCGAUUGACAAAGGGAAUUGUUUACGGGAUUGAUUGAAUCCUCGACAUCGUGGUUCAUCCGAUGAGAUCAUCGUGGAACAUGUAGGAGCCAACAUGGGUAUCCAGAUCCCGCUGUUGGUUAUUGACCAGAGAGGCGUCUCGGUCAUGUCUGCAUGUCUCGCGAACCCGUAGGGUCUACACACUUAAGGUUCGGUGACGCUAGGGUUGUAGAGAUAUUAGUAUGCGGAAACCCGAAAGUUGUUCGGAGUCCCGGAUGAGAUCCCGGACGUCACGAGGAGUUACGGAAUGGUCCGGAGGUGAAGAAUUAUAUAUAGGAAGUCCAGUUUCGGCCACCGGGAAAGUUUCGGGGGUUAUCGGUAUUGUACCGGGACCACCGGAAGGGUCCCGGGGGUCCACCGGGUGGGGCCACCUAUCCCGGAGGGCCCCAUGGGCUGAAGUGGGAAGGGAACCAGCCCUUAGUGGGCUGGGGCGCCCCCCCUUGGGCCUCCCCCUGCGCCUAGGGUUGGAAACCCUGGGGGUGGGGGCGCCCCACUUGGCUUGGGGGGGAAGCCACCCCCCCUUCCCCCUUGGCCGCCGCCCCCUUGGAGAUCUGAUCUCCCAGGGCCGGCCCCCCCCAGGGGGCCUAUAUAUAGUGGGGGGAGGGAGGGCAGCAGCACCACAGCCCCUGGCGCCUCCCUCUCCCCCUGCAACACCUCUCCCUCCCGCUUGCGCUUGGCGAAGCCCUGCCGGGAUCCCCGCUACUUCCACCACCACGCCGUCGUGCUGCUGGAUCUCCAUCAACCUCUCCUUCCCCCUUGCUGGAUCAAGAAGGAGGAGAUGUCGCUGCUCCGUACGUGUGUUGAACGCGGAGGUGCCGUCCGUUCGGCACUCGGUCAUCGGUGAUUUGGAUCACGGCGAGUACGACUCCAUCAACCCCGUUCACUUGAACGCUUCCGCUCGCGAUCUACAAGGGUACGUAGAUGCACUCCUUUCCCCUCGUUGCUAGUAUACUCCAUAGAUGGAUCUUGGUGAUGCGUAGCAAAUUUUAAAAUUCUGCAACGAUCCCCAACAAAUAGAACUUGGCUUGUAUAUUCCAAUGAUGGGCUUCCUCAAAAUGCCCUAGGUCUUUGUGAGCAAGCGAGUUGGAUGCACACCCACUUAGUUUCUUUUGUUGAGCUUUCAUAUACUUAUAGCUCUAGUGCAUCUGUUGCAUGGCAAUCCCUACUCACUCACAUUGAUAUCUAUUGAUGGGCAUCUCCAUAGCCCGUUGAUACGCCUAGUUGAUGUGAGACUAUCUUCUCCCUUUUUGUCUUCUCCACAACCACCAUUCUAUUCCACAUAUAGUGCUAUAUCCAUGGCUCACGCUCAUGUAUUACGUGAAGAUUGAAAAAGUUUGGGAACGUCAAAAGUAUGAAACAAUUGCUUGGCUUGUCAUCGGGGUUGUGCGUGAUUUAAAUACUUUGUGUGGUGAAGAUAGAGCAUAGCCAGACUAUAUGAUUUUGUAGGGAUAACUUUCUUUGGCCAUGUUAUUUUGAGAAGACAUGAUUGCUUUGUUAGUAUGCUUGAAGUAUUAUUAUUUUUUGUCAAUAUUAAACUUUUGUCUUGAAUCUUUUGGAUCUGAAUAUUCAUUCCACAAUUAAGAAGAAUUACAUUGAGAUUAUGCCAAGUAGCACUCCGCAUCAAAAAUUCUGUUUUUAUCAUUUACCUACUCGAGGACGAGCAGGAAUUAAGCUUGGGGAUGCUUGAUACGUCUCCAACGUAUCUAUAAUUUUUGAUUGCUCCAUGCUAUAUUAUCUACUGUUUUGGACAUUAUUGGGCUUUAUUAUUCACUUUUAUAUUAUUUUUGGGGCUAACCUAUUAACCGGAGGCCCAGCCCAGAAUUGUUGUUUUUUGCCUAUUUCAGAGUUUCGCAGAGAAGGAAUAUCAAACGGAGUCCAAACGGAAUGAAACCUUCGGGAACGUGAUUUUUAGGAAGAAUAUGAUCCAGGAGACUUGGACCCUACGUCAAGAAAUAAAAGAGGAGGCCACGAGGUAGGGGGCGCGCCCACCCCCUAGGGCGCACCCUCCACCCUCGUGGGGCCCCUGUUGCUCCACCGACAUACUCCUUCCUCCUAUAUAUACCUACGUACCCCCAAACGAUCAGAUACGGAGCCAAAAACCUAAUUCCACCGCCGCAACCUUCUGUACCCACGAGAUCCCAUCUUGGGGCCUGUUCCGGAGCUCCGCCGAAGGGGGCAUCCAUCAGGAGGGCUUCUACAUCAACGCCAUAGCCUCUCCGAUGAAGUGUGAGUAGUUUACCUCAGACCUUUAGUAGCUAGAUGGCUUCUUCUCUCUUUUUGGAUCUCAAUACAAUGUUCUCCCCCUCUCUCGUGGAGAUCUAUUCGAUGUAAUCUUCUUUUUGCGGUGUGUUUGUUGAGAUCGAUGAAUUGUGGGGUUUAUGAUCAAGAUUAUCUAUGAACAAUAUUUGAAUCUUUUCUGAAUUCUUUUAUGUAUGAUUGGUUAUCUUUGCAAGUCUCUUCGAAUUAUCAGUUUGGUUUGGCCUACUAGAUUGAUCUUUCUUGCAAUGGGAGAAGUGCUUAGCUUUGGGUUCAAUCUUGCGGUGUCCUUUCCCAGUGACAGUAGGGGCAGCAAGGCACGUAUUGUAUUGUUGCCAUCGAGGAUAACAAGAUGGUUUUUUAUAUCAUAUUGCAUGAAUUUAUCCCUCUACAUCAUGUCAUCUUGCUUAAGAUGUUACUCUGUUUCUAUGAACUUAAUACUCUAGAUGCAUGCUGGAUAGCGGUCGAUGAGUGGAGUAAUAGUAGUAGAUGCAGGCAGGAGUCAGUCUACUUGUCUCGGACGUGAUGCCUAUAUACAUGAUCAUACCUAGAUAUUCUCAUAACUAUGCUCAAUUCUGUCAAUUGCUCAACAGUAAUUCAUUCACCCACCGUAAAAUACUUAUGCUCUUGAGAGAAGCCACUAGUGAAACCUAUGGCCCCCGGGUCUAUCUUCAUCAUAUUAAUCUUCCAACACUUAGUUAUUUCCUUUGCUUUUAUUUUACUUUGCAUCUUUAUCACAAAAAUACCAAAAAUAUUAUCCUAUCAUAUCUAUCAGAUCUCACUCUCGUAAGUGACCGUGAAGGGAUUGACAACCCCUUAUCGCGUUGGUUGCGAGGAUUUAUUUGUUUUGUGUAGGUGCGAGGUACUCGGGCAUAGCCUCCUACUGGAUUGAUACCUUGGUUCUCAAAAACUGAGGGAAAUACUUACGCUACUUUGCUGCAUCACCCUUUCCUCUUCAAGGGAAAACCAACGCAGUGCUCAAGAGGUAGCAGGCGCCUCUGUGCCGGGCUAUAUCACGACGCAGUUCAUACGAGUCUUGUCUGCUGUAUUCGGCCCGGCCGGAUUUGCUUUUCGUAUAUCCGGCAUGACGAUCAUCGUCUCGCGUUGGGGCGCGACCCCGUGAUCCGUAGAUCGAUCUUGUAUGCCCUGCUUUGUUUUCCAAUACGUCUCGCAGGUCCCACAUGUUGCCCCGGGCCUUGGUGUUUUCGGUUGAACGGCGGCGGGGUGCGGUCCGGACUUCGGGCUGAUAUGCCUCUCUGUCUCGGCCACGAGGUGGCCGAUCAGCCGCAUCAUACGCUGGUGACGUUGGUUUUAAUGCUUCCUCCUCGAGUCGGGGUAGCAACCUGCUCUUUGGGUAACUCUUGGAGGGGCGUUCGAGUUCGUAUUCCUCGGCCGCAAGGACUUCGGUCCAUCUGUCCGCUAGCAAAUCUUGAUCAGCUCGAAGCUGUUGUUGCUUUUUCUUCAGGCUAUUUGCUGUGGCUAUAAGCCGGCGCUUGAAGCGCUCCUGCUCGACGGGAUCCUCGGGCAGGAUAAAUUCUUCAUCGCCGAGGUUCACCUCGUCUUCGGAGAGAGGCAUGUAAUGUUGUCAUCCUCCGUUUCUUCGUCUGCUGCCUGUUCUGGAGGGCUAGCUUGUUCAUCCUCCCGCUCUAAAUCUGGCUGGAGGGGAUUUUCGUCGUCUUCGGCACUAUCCGGAGUGUUAUUGUCUCUUGCGCCGGUAUCGCUACUUUUGCUAUGGCGGGACUUAGAGCGGCGCCGCUGACGUCGGUGCUUGGGUUGCUUCUUGGAGGGGUCAUCCUCCACUGUCUUAUCACCAUCGCCUUCUUUGGGGGUAUCCACCAUGUAUAUAUCAUAUGAUGAGGUGGCUGUCCGACGCCCUGUAGGCGGUGGUUCCUGCUCGUCUCCUGCAUCGUCGUCCAUACCGUCGAUGUCUUCGGAGUCGAAGUCGAGCAUGUCGGUUAAAUCGUCGACAGUGGCUAUUAAGUGGGUGGUGGGUGGGGAGCGAAUUUCUUCGUUGUCCGCAUCCCAUUCUAGCCGGACAUAGUUCGGCCAAGGUUCUCCUGACAAGGAGAGAGACCUUAAUGAAUUUAGCACAUCGCCAAAAGGCGAGUGCUGAAAGAUAUCCGCGGAGGUAAACUCCAUGAUCGGUGCCCAAUCGGAUUUGAUAGGCACGGACGCAGGCGGCUUGGAGCCUGUGGCCGGGGACGAAUCCAAUGGUUCGGCAACAUGGCUCUCGUAGGAGGUGGAGUCAGUAUUCGGCUCUAUCGCCACUGAGAGUGCGGCCUCCGUGGCGGGGUCUAUCCACCCGUCCUCAGAUGGCGCAAUUUGUUCCGGAUUGAGGGCCGAAGUAGUUGCAGGUGUGAUCUCCCGAACACUGUCCGACAGCGGAGUUAAGUCAUGCUCUCGUGAUUAUGCGACGCACCUGACAUGGGCUCGAAUCCGUCGAAGAUCAAGUCUCCGCGGAUGUCGGCAGUAUAGUUCAAGUUUUCGAACCUGACCUGAUGGCCAGGGGCGUAGCUCUCGAUCUGCUCCAGAUGGCCAAGCGAGUUGGCCCGCAGUACGAAGCCGCCGAAUACGAAGAUCUGUCCGGGGAGGAAAACCUCACCCUGGAUCGCAUCGUUGCCAAUGAUCGAAGGAGCCAUCAAGCCUUACGGUGACGGCACAGUGGAACUAUCAAUGAAAGCACCAAUGUCGGUGUCAAAACCCGCGGACCUCGGGUAGGGGGUCCCAAACUAUGCGUCUAAGGUGGAUGGUAACAGGAGGCGGGGGACACGAUGUUUACCCAGGUUCGGGCCCUCUCGAUGGAGGUAAUACCCUACUUCCUGCUUGAUUGAUCUUGAUGAUAUGAGUAUUACAAGAGUUGAUCUACCACGAGAUCGUAGAGGCUAAACCCUAGAAGCUAGCCUAUGGUAUGAUUGUUGUUGUCCUACGGACUAAACCCUCCGGUUUAUAUAGACACCGGAGGGGACUAGGGUUACACAGAGUCGGUUACAAGGGAGGAGAUCUACAUAUCCGUAUUGCCAAGCUUGCCUUCCACGCCAAGGAGAGUCCCAUCCGGACACGGGACGAAGUCUUCAAUCUUGUAUCUUCAUAGUCCAACGGUCCGGCUAAAGUAUAUAGUUCGGCCGUCCGAGGACCCCCUAAUCCAGGACUCCCUCAGGUCCUGCCUUGCCAGCACUAGACCCUGCCGGGGGGGACCCUGGCUCGCCAUCCGUCAACUCCGCCGUUGCUACCACUUCCACAUCGACCUCCCUCUGCGCCACUAGUGCAGUACUGACCACUUGAUUAGUUGCCACUAGAUACAGCAGCAACGGUUCUUAUGGUUUAUGUGCAACUAGUAUUGGCGUAGAGGAGAGGUACCUUUUCAAAUCCUGCAGCGCUGCUUCGGCCUCUGGGGUCCAUUUAAUUGGGCCCGCCUUUUUCAGGAUUUUGAAAAAGGGGAGGGCGCGCUCAGCAGAUUUGGAGAUGAACCUGCUCAGGGCAGCAACAUGAUGUCUACUACGCAACCUUCUUCUUGUAGACGUUGUUGGGCCUCCAAGUGCAGAGGUUUGUAGGACAGUAGCAAAUUUCCCUCAAGUGGAUAACCUAAGGUUUAUCAAUCCGUGGGAGGCGUAGGAUGAAGAUGGUCUCUCUCAAGCAACCCUGCAACCAAAUAGCAAAGAGUCUCUUGUGUCCCCAACACACCCAAUACAAUGUUAAAUUGUAUAGGUGCACUAGUUCGGCGAAGAGAUGGUGAUACAAGUGCAAUAUGGAAGGUAGAUAUAGGUUUUUGUAAUCUGAAAAUAUAAAAACAGCAAGGUAGCAAGCGAUAAAAGUGAGCGUAAACGGUAUUGCAAUGCGUUGAAACAAGGCCUAGGGUUCAUACUUUCACUAGUGCAAGUUCUCUCAACAAUAAUAACAUAAUUGGAUCAUAUAACUAUCCAUCAACAUGCAACAAAGAGUCACUCCAAAGUCACUAAUAGCGGAGAACAAACGAAGAGAUUAUUGUAGGGUACGAAACCACCUCAAAGUUAUUCUUUCGGAUAGAUCUAUUCAAGAGUUCGUACUAGAAUAACACCUUAAGACACAUAUCAACCAAAACCCUAAUGUCACCUAGAUACUCCAAUGUCACCUCAAGUAUCCGUGGGUAUGAUCAUACGGUAUGCAUCACACAAUCUCAGAUUCAUCUAUUCAACCAACACAAAGUACUUCAAAGAGUGCCCCAAAGUUUCUACCGGAGACUCAAGACGAAAACGUGUGCCAACCCCUAUGCAUAAGUUCACAAUGUUACGAAACCCGCAAGUUGAUCACCAAAACAUACAUCAAGUAGAUCACGUGAUAUCCCAUUGUCACCACAGAUAAGCACAUGCAAGACAUACAUCAAGUGUUCUCAAAUCCUUAAAGACUCAAUCCGAUAAGAUAACUUCAAAGGGAAAACUCAAUCCAUUACAAGAGAGUAGAGGGGGAGAAACAUCAUAAGAUCCAACUAUAAUAGCAAAGCUCGCGAUACAUCAAGAUCGUACCAUCUCAAGAACACGAGAGAGAGAGAGAUCAAACACAUAGCUACUGGUACAUACCCUCAGCCCCGAGGGUGAACUACUCCCUCCUCGUCAUGGAGAGCGCCGGGAUGAUGAAGAUGGCCACCGGUGAGGGUUCCCCCCUCCGGCAGGGUGCCGGAACAGGGCCCCGAUUGGUUUUUGGUGGCUAUAGAGGCUUGCGACGGCGGAACUCCCGAUCUAUUCUGCUCCCCGAUGUUUUUAGGGUAUAUGGAUAUAUAUAGGCGAAAGAAGUCAGUCAGGGGAGCCACGAGGGUGGGGGCGCACCUAGGGGGCAGGCGCGCCUCCCUGCCUCGUGGCUACCUCGAAGCUUCCCUGACGUCUACUCCAAGUCUCCUGGAUUGCUUCCGUUCCAAAAAUAACUCUCCCGAAGGUUUCAUUCCGUUUGGACUCCGUUUGAUAUUCCUUUUCUUCGAAACACUGAAAUAGGCAAGAAAACAGCAAUUUGGGCUGGGCCUCCGGUUAAUAGGUUAGUCCCAAAAAUAAUAUAAAAGUGUUUAGUAAAGCCCAUAAACAUCCAAAACAGAUAAUAUAAUAGCACGAAUACUUCAUAAAUUAUAGAUACGUUGGAGACGUAUCAGCAUCCCCAAGCUUAAUUCCUGCUCGUCCUCGAGUAGGUAAAUGAUAAAAGAAAGAAUUUAUGAAGUGUGAAUGCUCGCAGGUGCACAAGUUUGAUCAGUGAUAAUUUCAAUCACCUUUUCUAGCAUCAUCAUAUGCCAUAACAGUAGCUCAUCUCAUAAAACUUUUCAUGAUCAAGUAACAAACUAUUCACAUGUUAAAGUAUAGAUCAUAAACUUUCUUGAAAACUAACAAACCGUGUUAUUAGUCAUCAAACAAUUACAAUUCAUCUUAUUUUCCGGAAGAGUCUAUGUCAGAGCUUUGAUUCAGCAAACUUCACAUACUCAACUAUCAUUUAGUCUUUCACAAUUGCUAACACUCACGCGAUAUUUAUGGGUUCAAAGUUUUAAUCAGACACAGAGAAAGAUAGGGGCUUAUAGAUUCGCCUCCCAACCUUUUACCUCAAGGGUAAUGUCAACAAUAAUAGUUCAUGAUGCCUUACAUCCAAUUGGAUAUAUAUAUCAGGAUCUUUCCAACACAAUGUGCUUGCCAAAGGAUAAAAUGUAAAAAGGAAAGGCGAAGAUCACCAUGAAUCUUGCAUAAGGUAAAAGACAAGAAUAAAAGAUAGGCCCUUCGCAAAGGGAAGCAGAGGUUGUCAUGCGCUUUUAUAGUUAGAUGCACAAAAUCUUAAUGCGAAAGAACGUCACUUUAUAUUGCCACUUGUGAUAGGGACCUUUAUUAUGCAGUCCGUCGAUUUUAUUGCUUCCAUAUCACAAGAUCGUAUAAAGCUUAUUUUCUCCACUUGCAGAGCAAUUUUUAUUGCAUGCACCGAUGAUAACUUACUUGAAGGAUCUUACUCAAUCCAUAGGUAGGUAUGAUGGACUCUCAUGGCAAUACUGGUUUAAGGGAUGUUUGGCAGCACAAGUAGCAUCUCUACUUGGUGCAAAGAAUUUGGCUAGCAUGAGGGGGAAAGGCAAGCUCAGCAUGUUGAAUGAUCCAUGACAAUAUACUUUAUUUCGGAUAUAAGAAAACAUAACCCAUUACGUUGUCUUCCUUGUCCAACAUCAACCUUUUAGCAUGUCAUAUUUUAAUGAGUGCUCACAAUCAUAAAAGAUGUCCAAGAUAGUAUAUUUAUAUGUGAAAUCUCUCUUCCCUCAGUAUUCUUUCAUGAAUUGUUCAAGUGACCAAUACAAUGUUUGCUAACCUUCAAUAAAUUUACCACCUCUACUUCUUAUAUGUGAAGUCAUUACUCCCCAUGGGAUAAGCAUAUGAAACAUAUAUAAUUUCAGAUUUAUGAUAUUCGCUCAUUCAACUAUUUACUCAUAGGAUAUAAGUGAAGCACACGAGUAAAUGACAAACUACUCCAAAAAGAUAUAAGUGAAGAUCAAUGAGUAGUUAAAUAAUUAUGUAACUAUGUGAAGAUUCUCUCUCAUUUAAGAAUUUCAUAUCUUGAUAUUUUAUUCAAACAGCAAGCAAAACAAAAUAAAAUGAUAUUCUAAGAAUAGCAAACAUCACGUGAAGAAGCAAAAACUUAGGAUCAACCGAUACUAACCGAUAGUUGUCGAAGAAGAAAGGUGGGAUGCCAACCGGGGCAUCCCCAAGCUUAGACGCUUGAGACUUCUUGAAAUAUUAUCUUGGGAUGCCUUGGGCAUCUCCAAGCUUGAGAUUUUGUGUCUCCUUAAUUCCCCUCAUAUCACGGUCUCCCUAAAUCUCAAAAGCUUCAUCCACACAAAACUCAACAAGGACUCGUGAGAUAAGUUAGUAUAAACCAAUGCAAAAAAAAACUUAUCAUACUCUUCUGUAGCAAAUCACUAAAAUUAUUAUUUAACAUUGCAUACUAAAUGCCUGUGCAUAUUUAAUAGUCCUAUAAUCAAAUAGAAUCAUUAAAGAAGCAAACAUAUGCAAACAAUGCAAACAUAACAGCAAUCUGCCUAAACAGGACAGUCUGUAAAGAAUGCAGCAGGAUCCAUACUUCCCUAGCUCCAAAAAUUAUGAAAGAAAAUUCCCACUAUAGUAUAUUUAUCAGAGCUUAUUAUGCAAAAGGUUUCAACAUUUUAUCUCAUUCUGACUUUUCUAGGGAAUUUUUGCAACAGCGGUAAACUUUCUGUUUUCAAACAGCAACAUGUAGACUUGUAAAGUAGGCAUAGUAAAGGCUACCAAUGCCACUUUUAUUGAAAUAAAAGAUGAAAAACAUUGUUAUAAAUAACAGCAAGCAAAUACUAGCAAAAUAAAUUGACUCUCCAAGCAAAACACAUAUCAUGUGGUGAAUAAAAAUAUAGCUCCCAGUAAAGUUACCGAUGAACGAAGAUGAAAGAGGGGAUGCCUUCCGGGGCAUCCCGAAGCUUAGGCUCUUGGUUGUCCUUGAAUAUUACCUUGGGGUGCCUUGGGCAUCCCCAAGCUUAGGCUCUUUCCACUACUCAUUCCAUAGUCCAUCGAAUCCUUUACCCAAAACUUGAAAACUUCACAACAGAAAACUCAACAGAAAACUCGUAAGAUCCGUUAGUAUAAGAAAAUAAAUCACCACUUUUGGUACUGUUGUGAACUCAUUCUAAAUUCAUAUUGGUGUAAUAUAUAAUGUAUUCCAACUUCUCUAUGGUUCAUACCCUCCGAUACUACUCAUAGAUUCAUCAAAAUAAGCAAACAACACAUAGAAAACAGAAUCUGUCAAAAACAGAACAGUCUGUAGUAAUCUGUAUCAAACGUAUACUUCUGGAACUCCAAAAAUUCUGAAAUAAAUUGGUGGACCUGCGGAAAUUGUCUAUUAAUCAUCUGGAAAAAGAAUCAACCUAAAAUCACUCUCCAGUAAAAGAAAGGCAGCACGUCUCGUGAGUGCUAAAGUUUCUGUUUUUUACAGCAAGAUCAUAAAGACUUCACCCAGGUCUUCCCAAAGGUUCUACUUGGCAAAAACACUAAUUAAAACAUAAAACCACAUCUAACCAGAGGCUAGAUGAAUCAUUUAUUAAUAAACAGGAGAAAAAAAGCAAGGAACAAAAAUAAGAUUGGGUUGCCUCCCAACAAGCGCUAACGUUUAACGCCCCUAGCUAGGCAUGAUGAUUUCAAUGAUGCUCACAUAAAAGAUAAGAAUUGAAACAUAAAGAGAGCAUCAUGAAGAAUAUGACUAGCACAUUUAAGUCUAACCCACUUCCUGUGCAUAGGGAUUUUGUGAGCAAACAACUUAUGGGAACAAAAAACAACUAGCAUAGGAAGGCAAAACAAGCAUAACUUCAAGAUUUUAAGCACAUAGAGAGGAAACUUGAUAUUAUUGCAAUUCCUACAAGCAUAUAUUCCUCCCUCAUAAUAAUUUUGAGUAGCAUCAUGAAUAAAUUCAACAAUGUAACUAUCACAUAAAGCACUAUUUUCAUGAUGCACAAGCAUAGAAUUUUUAUUACUCUCCACAUAAGCAAAAUUCUUCUCAUUCGGAAUAGUAGUGGGAGCAAACUCAACAAAGUAAUUAUCAUGUGAGGCAUAAUCCAAUUGAAAACUAAAAUCAUGAUGACAAGUUUCAUGGUUAUCAUUAUUCUUAAUAGCAUACAAGUCAUCACAAUAAUCAUCAUAGAUAGCAACUUUGUUCUCAUAACCAAUUGGAACCUCUUCCGAAAUAGUGGACUCAUCACUAAAUAAAGUCAUGACCUCUCCAAAUCCACUUUCAUAAUUAUCACAAUAAGAUUCAACACCCUAAAAAAAAGCGGGGUCAUUACUUCCUAAAGUUGACACUCUUCCAAACCCACUUUCAUCAAUAUAAUCAUCAUAAAUAGGAGGCAUGCUAUCAUCAUAAUAAAUUUGCUCAUCAAAACUUGGGGGACAAAAAAUAUCAUCUUCAUCAAACAUAGCUUCCCCAAGCUUGUGGCUUUGCAUAUCAUUAGCAUCAUGGAUAUUCAAGGAAUUCAUAGUAACAACAUUGCAAUCAUGCUCAUCAUUCAAAUAUUGAGUGCCAAAUAUUCUACUCCCUCCGUUCCUAUAUAUAGGGUGUAUACUUUUUGGCACGGAAAUUAAAGAACGCACGUGGAGGAAAAAUUUCACAAGUUUUGGGCGAGAUUAUACCUGACUAAUUGACAUGAGAAAAUAGAGGAGCUUGCCUAAUAUAAGGAAAUGUAAUCAAAUCCCAAAAAAAAUAUCCAAACGAGUGGCGCAACGCAGUACACCUUAUAUUUUGGAUCUUUUCUCAAAAAUCUAUACACCUUAUAUCAAGGAACGGAGGGAGUAAUGCAUUCUUCCUCUAGCAAUUGAGCACAAUUAUCGGAAUCCUUAUUUUCAAGGAAGACAUUAAAAAGAUGAAGCAUAUGAGGCACCCUCAAUUCCAUUUUUUUUGUAGUUUUCUUUUAUAAAUUAAACUAGUGAUAAAACAAGAAACUAAAAGAUUCGAUUGCAAGAUCUAAAGAUAUACCUUCAAGCACUAACCUCCCCGGCAACGGCGCCAGAAACUUCUUGAUGUCUACUAUGCAACAUUCUUCUUGUAGACGUUGUUGGGCCUCCAAGUGCAGAGGUUUGUAGGAUAGUAGCAAAUUUCCCUCAAGUGGAUGACCUAAGGUUUAUCAAUCCGUGGGAGGCGUAGGAUGAAGAUGGUCUCUCUCAAGCAACCCUGCAACCAAAUAGUAAAGAGUCUCUUGUGUCCCCAACACACCCAAUACAAUGGUAAAUUGUAUAGGUGCACUAGUUCGGCGAAGAGAUGGUGAUACAAGUGCAAUAUGGAAGGUAGAUAUAGGUUUUUGUAAUCUGAAAAUAUAAAAACCGCAAGGUAGCAAGCGGUAAAAGUGAGCGUAAACGGUAUUGCAAUGCGUUGAAACAAGGCCUAGGGUUCAUACUUUCACUAGUGCAAGUUCUCUCAACAAUAAUAACAUAAUUGGAUCAUAUAACUAUCCAUCAACAUGCAACAAAGAGUCACUCCAAAGUCACUAUUAGCGGAGAACAAACGAAGGGAUUAUUGUAGGGUACGAAACCACCUCAAAGUUAUUCUUUUGGAUCGAUCUAUUCAAGAGUUCGUACUAGAAUAACACCUUAAGACACAUAUCAACCAAAACCCUAAUGUCACCUAGAUACUCCAAUGUCACCUCAAGUAUCCGUGGGUAUGAUCAUACGGUAUGCAUCACACAAUCUCAGAUUCAUCUAUUCAACCAACACAAAGUACUUCAAAGAGUGCCCCAAAGUUUCUACCGGAGACUCAAGACGAAAACGUGUGCCAACCCCUAUGCAUAAGUUCACAAUGUUACGAAACCCGCAAGUUGAUCACCAAAACAUACAUCAAGUAGAUCACGUGAUAUCCCAUUGUCACCACAGAUAAGCACAUGCAAGACAUACAUCAAGUGUUCUCAAAUCCUUAAAGACUCAAUCCGAUAAGAUAACUUCAAAGGAAAAACUCAAUCCAUUACAAGAGAGUAGAGGGGGAGAAACAUCAUAAGAUCCAACUAUAAUAGCAAAGCUCGCGAUACAUCAAGAUCGUACCAUCUCAAGAACACGAGAGAGAGAGAGAUCAAACACAUAGCUACUGGUACAUACCCUCAGCCCCGAGGGUGAACUACUCCCUCCUCGUCAUGGAGAGCGCCGGGAUGAUGAAGAUGGCCACCGGUGAGGGUUCCCCCCUCCGGCAGGGUGCCGGAACAGGGCCCCGAUUGGUUUUUGGUGGCUAUAGAGGCUUGCGACGGCGGAACUCCCGAUCUAUUCUGCUCCCCGAUGUUUUUAGGGUAUAUGGAUAUAUAUAGGCGAAAGAAGUCAGUCAGGGGAGCCACGAGGGGCCCACGAGGGUGGGGGCGCGCCCAGGGGGGCACGCGCGCCUCCCUGCCUCGUGGCCACCUCGAAGCUUCCCUGACGUCUACUCCAAGUCUCCUGGAUUGCUUCCGUUCCAAAAAUAACUCUCCCGAAGGUUUCAUUCCAUUUGGACUCCGUUUGAUAUUCCUUUUCUUCGAAACACUGAAAUAGGCAAGAAAACAACAAUUUGGGAUGGGCCUCCCGUUAAUAGGUUAGUCCCAAAAAUAAUGUAAAAGUGUUUAGUAAAGCAUAAACAUCCAAAACAGAUAAUAUAAUAGCAUGAAUACUUCAUAAAUUAUAGAUACGUUGGAGACGUAUCACAACACAGCCAGCAAGCCGACGUACAUCUUGACUCGCCUUGGCACCUCAAUCUGCUCAAUUGCUUUGACCUUGUCGGGAUUCACUUCGAUCCCACGUUGUGACACAAAGAACCCGAGAAACUUGCCGAACGGAACGCCGAAGACACACUUCUAAGUCUUGUAUAAGCGUUGCCCUGUCCUUGGUUUUGACCACUAUGUCAUCCAUAUAGGCUUCCAUAUUUCUAUGUAGCUGAGGCUCAAAACCAAUUUGGACUGCUCUUGCAAAUGUUGAACCAGUGCUCUUCAACCCGAAAGGCAUUCGUAUAAAACAAUACGUACCACAUGGGGUGAUGAACGCGGUCUUUUCUUCAUCUUCUCUUGUCAUGAAGAUCUGGUGGUAUCCUGAGUAAGCUUCAAGGAAUGACAGCAAGUCACACCCGGCCGUGGAGUCCACAAUCUGGUCAAUGCGUGGCAAAGGGAAAGGAUCCUUUGGACAAGCUUUAUUGAUGUUUGUGUAAUCAAUACACAGCCUCCACUUUCCAUUUGCCUUGCGCACUACCAUCGGAUUGGCCAAUCACGUUGGGUGGAGUACUCCUCUGACCAAGCCCGCCACUUCUAACUUCCUGAUAUCCUCUGUGAUAAACUCUUGUCGUUCCAAAGCUUGCUUCCUGACCUUCUGCUUGAUGGGUCGCGCUUGAGGACAGACAGCGAGAUGGUGCUCAAUCACCUCCCUGGGAACGUCGGGGAUGUCGGAUGCUUGCCAUGCAAACACAUCGACAUUCGCCCGCAGGAAGGUGACGAGCGCGCCUUCCUAUUUGCUGUCGAGGGUGGAGCUUAUGGUAAAAGCUCCUCCCGUGCCAUCCUCCUUGACAGGCACCUUCUUGCUCUUUGGUGGGGCAGCUCUGGAUUUCUUGCUCUUGCCGGUGGAGCUCUCUGGCACGUCCUCGACGGUAGCACAGCACUCCGAAGAGGUGCGCUUGCCGGAGUGGGUGCGAGAGGUCUUGCCGGUCUUCUUCCCUCCCGGGGCUUCAGCGGCAGGAGCAAGCGCCUUGGCGGCAGUUGCUGCAACUACCUCUCGGUAGAGUUGGUCGGCGCAGAUGAGCGCAUCUUUCUUGUCGGAGGGGACGGUGAUGAUGCUCAUCGGCCUAGGCAUCUUCAACGUGUUGUAGGCGUAGUGUGAUGCCGCCAUAAACUUGGCUAGUGCUGGGCGGCCGAGGAUCCCAUUGUAGGGCAAAGGGAUCUCUGCAACAUCAAAAACAAUCCUCUCUGUUCUAUAGUUCAGCUCACCCCCAAAUGUAACGGGCAUCGUAACCUUACCUUUCGGCUGACUCCUUCCCGGAUUGACCCCUUGAAACGUGCCCGUCUCUUUGAGGUCUCCAUCAGGAAUCUGCAGCCUUUCGAUCACAACAGGCGAGAUCAAGUUCAGACCGGCCCCGCCGUCAACUAGCACUUUUGUCACCUUGAGGUUGCGUAUUGUUAGUGAAACCAACAACGGCAAACACCCGACCGCAGUUGUGCGAUCAGGGUGAUCCUCGAUGUCAAAAAUGAUAGGCGUGUUGGACCACUUCAGUGGCAUUUGAGCAUCGAACGAUGGUUCCGCCGCCGUGAUCUCACGCGCCCACUGCUUGAGUCGGCGAUGAGAGGUGUGCAGCGAGGUGCCACCGUCGACGCACAGGGCCUCCGUAGCUUUCUGGAACUCAUGCUCGCCGGACUCGUCGUCCUCGUCAUGAUCGUCGUCUUCUUGCUUCUUGUCGCGGCCCCGCGCGGGCCUAUCUUGUUGAUUAUCUUUGCCGCGGCGGCCAGCUUGGCCGCCACGCUUCUUGCCGGAUCCCUGAGCGCCAUCCUGGCCCUUCUCCUUGUCCCGCCUCUUGUAUUCGAUUUUCUGCUUCUCUGCGAGCUGCUCAACUUGUCGGCAGUUCUGAAGGUCACGGCCCUUGGUGCGAUGGAUCUUGCAGUACUUCUUGUCGGGGCUUCCCGGUUUGUCGGCGGCCGCCAAGGCCCGGCUGGCGGCGCACCCGGCAACCUCCUUGCCGGGGUCGUCUGCCUUGGCCUUCCUGGCAGUGCCGGCGUCGUCGGAUCCCUUGACGACAAGCACGGUCUUGCCCUUACGCUUCCUAUUGCGGCAUCCGCCCUUCUUUGUCGGGGUGAUGGCGUAUUCGUCUGUAGAGCCGGUUUCUGCUCCGGCGUCUUCGCCGGGGUACUUCCUCCCCUCUUCAGCCCGAGCACAUCUAUCGGCCAGAACAUAAAGUUCGGCCACAUCCCUGACCUUGUUCAUCGCUAGCUCUUCACGCAUCUUGUGGUUGCGCACAUUCUGAUGGAACGCGCUGAAGACAGCGGUAGGAUGAACAUGUGGGAUGUUGUACUGCACCCGGCUGAACCUCUAUAUGUACUUGCACAGGUUUUCGCCUUCCUUCUGGGGGAUGACAUGCAAAUCGCUUGCCUGGCCAUGAGCUUGGUGGCCUCCAGUAAAAGCGCCGAAAAACUCAUGGCACAAAUCCGACCAGGAAGAAAUGGAGUCCGCUGGCAAGUGCAUCAACCAUGACAUGACGUUGGGUUUGAGUGCCAACGGGAAGUAAUUGGCAAGCACCUUGCCGUCGCGAGCUCCAGCAUCUUGCAUCGCGAUGGUGUAGAUGCUGAGGAACUCUGACGGGUGAGUCUUGCCGUUGUACUUCUCGCCGACAUCAGGCUUGAACAUGCGGUGAGUGGGCCACUGGAACUGCCGCAACUCACGGGUAAAGGCUGGGCAACCCACCUCGUAAGGUAGGCCACCAGAGCCUCCCGGUGCCUGGUGGUCUAUAGUGGGCCCUGCCCGCCUAUCUGACUGAUGGCGUGCUUCACGCCGCCGCUCAAUGGUGGUUCGAGCGUCUUCAUGGGCUCGCUCCCGAAGAACUUGACGUUGAUCGCGGUGGGUCCGUCGGUCGGACGACGCUAUAGAAAUGUUAUCUCAAGCAUCGUCCUGACGGAGCGGCGCCGCGGUAGCUGGCGCGGAGGAGGGGAGUGCACCGUGGCCGCAACACCUCCGGUCCUUCCACCACUCGCAUGCGGUGGUUCGACAGUGUCGGCCUGAGGGCCCCGCAGGUCGCAGCUCGUCCUUGUUGGCGAUGCUGACGAGGCUCCGGAUGGUGGCUCUCCACUCGUCGAGCUUUUCCGCAGCAGGAGGGAAGUCGAGGAGAAACUAUGCGCGCGCCAAAGCUUCUACUGGCAUGGGUGGCGGCGAAAGUUGCGUGUACCGUGACGCGCUACGACUUCUAACCACGUUAGAAGGAGCUCUAUCAUGGCCUUGCAGCUGGGCGCCAUUUUCGCCAGCGUCUCGGCGUGCAUGCUUGUCUGGUGUGUCCCGCGAAUGAUGCAUAGGACUCUUCCCGCGGCGGUGCUCGGGGUCGCUAACGUGGUGGCGCUACUCGUCGCGCACGACCUGGGAAGAGCGCGUUGCGGGCGCCGGCGUAGGCGUCUUGGAAGUCGCGGCGCCACCAGCAGGCUGCAUGACUCUGCCCUUGGAGGGCCCCGCGCCGCCUGCGGGGGCAUGGCUCCAUCUUUGGAUUUAGCGGCGUGCGGCCCGUCGUCCCGCGCACGAACGAUGCCGCUCGCCAGGCUUUGGCUGCCAGAGCGAUGUGGGUGUUCGCGGGCCGCGCCUCGGCCCCUGUCCGCGACCGCCCCGUCUUCCGCCCGCACAGGUACGGGCCGUUCGGCUCCAGAUGAACCGAUUGCCGUGAUCGUUUUCUUCUUAGGAACCAUGGCGAUGAAGAACUGCUAUACUAACUGCUAGGCCGGAUUUUCACAACUGCGUCUCCCCUACCUGGCGCGCCAAAGAUGUCAGCGGAAACGACACCUAUGGGAUCACGAGGAUCCCUUCUGCGGUUGGCGGGCGCGGGGUUGUGCAAAGAGCGGGUCUAGUAGUUAGCACAAGGAGAUUUUACCAUGGUUCGGGCUGCGUAGAUGCGUAAUACCCUAGUCCUGCUUUAGUAUAUAUUUGAGUGUUCUUGAGUUCUUGAACUAGCUACGGUGCGUGCGUGGUCCAAAAAGUCUGAAUCCUCUCUCAGUACGCCGCGGGCCUCCUUUUAUAGUAAAAAAGGGGUUGCCACAGUGUCACACAGGAGGUGGAAAGUUGUACAGUGCACAAGCUUAUCGCCUGGCAUCACAGGACAAAACGCAUUAAAUGCGCUACUUAGGUGUCCUCUUGCUUUAUCGGGGACGGUAACGAAGCCCGUCCCGUCCGUCGCCGCAUCGCCUUGCUUCGAUAUGCGUCCAGGCCAACGGGGCAUGCAGCGCCAUGUGGGCUGGCAGGCUGCUGAGCUGGCGCUGUGGCAGGGUCUUCACGAAGAUUUGCAUGCCACCACGCAGGUGCUUGUCUAGUUGGCUUAGGAGUCACGUACUGCCACGUGGGUACUUGUUUAGUUGGUGGGUCGACCGCUGAGCUAGGGCGGCGACGGGGCGGCAAGGCCUUGCCGCGGUCGUGCUGAUAUUCCCGGCAAGGGUCUUGCCGGGGCCUUGUGAGCGCCCUCGGCAAGGGUCUUGCCGGGGCCUCGUUGGUGCCUUGGGCAGGAGCCUUGCCGGGGCCUCGUGGGCAUCCUCGGCAAGGAGCCUUGCUGUAGUCUUGCCUUCUGGUUCUCAUCUAGGCCUUGCAGGCUCUUUGUCUUCAUAAAGAUCUGCAUGCCACCAUGCAGGCGGCUAUCGAGUCUUGGUUCCAAUGUUUGUCGAUGGUGUCGGAACUCUCAGGCUCAAGGGUGGGGGCCUCACCGGAGUUGGGCAAGUUGCCCCCGGCAAGGCUCUUGCCGGGGCUGCGUGGCCGCCCCGGCAAGGAUCUUGCCGGGGGGAAGCCCAUCUUGUUGCCUCGUUGUCCGCGCCCCUGGUUGGAGCACUGCUCUGGUAGUCUUGUACUUUUGCCUCCUUUGCCGUGCCAAGCGUGGCUGUCGGCUCGUGGCUGCGACUGCCCGUACACAAGUAAAGGGGUACCAAAAGGACCCCUACUUUUGUAAACCGACACAAUGCCUUUCCAUUUUCUACGGAACGACCAUCUAUUUUGAUUUUGACGCAGGUCCAUGGAUGCAAAAGAAAAAAUGACUUUCUAACAAGAAGUACGAAUACACACAAUUCCCUCUCAAGCAAUUAAGGAGAUCCAUAAUGUCAUAAUGGUUACUAUUCCCAUAAACAAUUCUGCUCCCCAAAUCUCUGUUGAGAUAUUUGCUAGGCACGUACAUUAUAAAACUCUUAUCAAGAUACUUGAAGAUACUAAUAAAGUAAACACAUAACACCACAAUGCAUCUAAGUGGCACACAAAUUAAUUUAUAUAUGAACGUUAUUUUUCAUUUUCUCAAAUCUAGAUGGAAUUUAAAUUACUUAAAUAUCCUAAACAUAUAUUAAAAAUAACAUAAGGUUGUUACAAUUAUAGUAAUUUUAGUGGAAAAAGUUGAAAUGUAAAAUAGUUAUUUUAAGUUACUAGUUGUGAUUUAUGUUGUUAGGUAUAAUACGAAAAAUAGUUGAAUUUGUGUAUUAACAUUGUAUCAAUUAAAAAACUAUUUAUGUAUAAUGAAUAUUAUAUGUAAAUAAGUAAAAAUAUUUAAUAUAAAUGGAUAUCAACCAUAGUUGUAAAUUUCCUAACUAGUUAAACAAUGAGAAUCUAACAUUAUCAUAUACAUUUUUAUUGUGUUUUUAUAUGUAUUUCUUAUGAGCUCUAGUUAUGGCAUCGAUGUUGUUUCCCAUAUAUGUUUCUUUUUUUCUUAGUUUCUUCUUUUAUGCAUUUUCCAAAGGGUCACCAGUUCAAAUAAUCAUAAAUUAGAAGGUUGCUAAUGACAAAAAAUAAAGUCUUAUGUGUACAUGAAAUAAUAUUUGGUAAAUACAAAAGUUUCAUAACAAACUCGUCAAAAGAGAAUUUUUUUUAUUAUUGGACUUUCAAAACAAAAUAUUACUUAUAUAAAAAUAGAAAAUACAUAGUAUGUUAUAAUUAUUUUCAAUCACAAAAAGAAUUCGAAUGAUUAUCAAAAUUGUUCGCGUAGAAGAUGCAUGUUGUUUGUUCAUAUAUUUCACCAAAUUUUUUUAUAGUUCACAAAACAUGAUAAUGUUGCUCACAAGGCUUUUCACGAUUUUUAUCUUAGGAAAUACUUGUUUUGAUUGAUCGAAAAUAUGUUCAUGGAUCUUAGAAAGUUGUUUUAUAAUUCACAGAAAAAUUUCUUUUAUUCAUAAAAUAAAUAACACAAUGAUCAGUUCCUACGGUACAUACAUUUAAGAAAUAAUGAACAUUUAUGUGGAUAUUUUCAAGAGAAAAAACAAUGAUUUGUUGUAUUGAACUGUUGUUUUGUUGUAGAGAAUAAAUUCAUAACACGUAGUGAAAUGAUUUAUAUUAACUAAAACAUUAAAUAAAACAAACUACGAGGAGGUGCUGCCCUAGGCGUCCUCGUCGUGUUGGGGCCGGUGAGCGUCGGCGCCGGGCCAGCCCAAGGAAACGUCGUCGACCAGGCUCUAGCAACGUCGUCCGCCGUGGUACCGCCGCCAACUGGGCUGGCCCACCGCAGGCAAGGCGCUCCUUCUCCGCGUCGCGUUCCAGCUGCUCGAAGUGCUCGCCCUCACGACGCUCCUCAGCCAGCCUUUGCUGCUGCCAUUGGUCGAGGUAGGCCUGCUCCUAUGCCGGCGUCGCCCCCAACCGGACCGGUGGCGCGCUAACCCACUCGUGCACCACUGCAGUCCAUGAGUAGCGCUUGAUGGGGUCGGUGCCGGCUCGGCCUUGACGGGGACAACGCCCUCAACGGCGGCACGACGCAGUCUCCCGUCGCGGAGAGCGCCAUGGCCUUCGUCAUGCACGCCUGGUACGCCUCAGCCUCCUCCUACUCCUUGCGCCGCUCCUCCUCGCUUUCGCGGAGGACUGCCGCCAGCGCCGCCUGGUAGGCGGCCUCCGCCUCCUGCUCCUCGUCGCGCACAACAAGGGGCGGCAGCGGGAUAUGCCGCACGUUGUGGACGCCGCGCUCCUGGCCUCCUCAUGCUCGAAUGCGAACCACUGCUCCCAAGGGGGAGAGUCGAGUGCGUAGGCAGGAUCGCGAUGCUGCUCCAGCGUCAGCAACUGCCGCCGGCGCCGCACCUCCUCCGUGUGCGCCCGCGCCGACCGCGGCGCUGCCGGCACUGGGAUCCUCUCCAGAUCCAAGUGCCAGUCGUGUGGCAGCGUCAUGUCGGGAUAUGGGAGGGGGACGCGGUGCUCCCAGUGCCACUUUGCCUGGUGCACUGGGACGUUGACGCGCUGCCGAGGUCGGUGGGAAGACGCCGGCGGAGGCGGGGGGAGGCGGGGGAGAGGGGCGGCGGAGGCCUUGCCCUUGUCCAUGUCGGAGAUGAAGCCCAUGGCGGUGGCUAGGAUUUGUCGCCGACGGGGAGCACCGUGGGUGGUGAGAUGGGGAUGGAGGCGUCUGGAAGCGGAUGAGGACGGCCCCCCACCUCAUGCUCGGAUUAAAAAAGGCCGACCGCCGUCGUUGACGCUUGGACCCGCGGUGGGCAGUCGUCAUUAAUAAAGACGGCCACGGUAGUUCGGUGGCCGCCAGGUGGGGACAUGGCGGACACCGAAAGGACGCGUGGCGUAUCCGCUUCGCGUCCACGCCGACGCAUUUCAGCCGUAAUUUUUGGCCGCAAAUGGGUCUGCGUGAACACGAAGCGGACGCAUUUUAAAAAUGAGUCGGCGUGUUGGGCCAGCACUUUUGUCCGCGGCGGCCCAAACGUACGGUGAUGGACGAAAUGGAUGUGCUGGAGUUGCUCUUACACACUGAGGAAAAAAAGCUAUAUAUAAAAGGAAAAUGAAGUAUCUCAUAUCUGCGGGAUUGGUCUGGUCCCAUCCCAGUGGACAAAACCAGCCGCUCUGCCGCAGAAAAAACAAGACGGGGCGAGGUGGGCAGCCACCUGCAACGGCCGGGCGUCGACAGCGAGAGGAGCGGCGCAAGCAAGCAAAUGUGUAUCCGGAAGCACCCGGUUUCCUGGAAUACCAGCACCGGCAGCCGCUUGUUUUGCUUCGGCUCUCCCGUAUAUAACCCCGUCCCACUCCAACUCUUCCUACCAUCAACACAAACGAGCAUCAGCUCACUGAGACAGUACAAGAAAAUCAAACUAGCUCUGUUCAACUUCGCAAGUCCACUAGGAUCACAAGUCAGUUUUCACUCCCAGCAGCGCGGCAAGAACAAGAAGUAUAGGAGAAGCCAUGGCUGGUCCGGCGAAGGCAUCGUGGAUGGUGGCCAUGAGCGUGGGCGCGGUGGAAGCGCUCAAGGACCAGGCCGGGCUUUGCCGCUGGAACUAUGCCCUCAGGUCCAUCCACCGGGCAGCCAAGGCCAACGUCCGCGGCGGCGUCUCGCAGGGCAGCAAGCAGCUUCCGGCCUCCGCGUCGGCGGUGGCGGAGAGGCGGCGAGCGGAGAAGGCCGAGGAGGGGCUAAGAACGGUGAUGUACCUCAGCUGCUGGGGCCCAAAUUAGGAGUACUAGUUGGUUAGGGGUGUUGUGUUCGUUGCAGCUUGUGCUUAUACUUAUGCGACAACCCCAUGACCGUUUGUAAAUACAGCACGAUGAUGAUGAUGAUGAAAAUUUCGGCUAUGAAUUUAUAUUACCCUCCUUGUGCAUGUUCUUCCAUGACUAUUUUUUGAAAGGCCAAAAGUUGACGUUUGUGAAGAGAGGAACUCUACAAAACGAGGCAUACAGAAUACAGAGGAAAUUCAGCUUCCUGUACCGAACAGCCAAACUCUGAAUAAAGGCCGGGUAGAACAGGGGUGGUUGAUCU